AAAAAAAAAAAAAAACUAUUUGAGUGUUUCUUCCAUACCUAGUCUCUCCUUCAAAGUUAAUUUUUAUUCUCUUUUUUGCAAGAAAAUAUAUUAUGUCAAUUGAAAGUCUUAAACAAAAUUUUGAAUGAUUCCCAAUUAUAAUAUGUGCUUACAACCACAAGAACAUAAAAUAAAAGUAUAAAAAAAAUAAACCUGAAAAGAUUCUUUCCACAUGAAGAAGAAGAAGAAGUAGAGAAAUAGUGAUAGAUCUAACCUAAAAACAAAAAUAGCGAUGGUAGCGAUGGUCCACUUCUUGCCUGUUUUUGUUUGGGCUUCCUCCUGCAUUUUGUCCUCUACUUUUCAAAUGGGGAAGACGCCAAUUAUUUAACCUGUUUUUGUUGUCAAUUUCCUUCUUUUUAUUUCUCUUUUUCCAAAUCUACAUGUAUGUAUAUUUUGUCUGCUUUGGAAUUUUUUAUCUACUGAUAAUUUAAUUUUAAUUUUUACCUUAUGCUUUCAUUUUAUUUUACAUUUUAAAAGGGGUUCUUUUAAUUUCAGGCCAUUUACCCUUUCUUGCUGACAGCAACAAUUUAGUUACCAUCGGUUUGUUUGCACAAAUGUUCAUUCCUUUCUAAAUAUCAUUCCACUAGAGUUUCACGUGAAUGGUAGUAAUAAAUAACAAAUAAUAAGAACUUAAUGUGAUAAAAAUAGUUUUGGUAAAGGUUGAAACAAACACAUUAUUUUACGAUUUAUUUUUUAGUUUCUACAACCACAUUGUAGUGACACUCGAUUUUAGGGUCAAUUUAUUAAAGAAAGUAAAAUUAUUUUUUCUCUACGUUGUGGGGUCUAGUUUUUAUUCGUUUUUUAGGUUUUGAAAUUUACAUUUUUAUUUCUUAAAUUUUAAAUUUAGUUUUGUUCUAUAUCUUAAAAUGCUAUUUUACCUUAUAAUUAUAUGAUUGUUCUGUAUUAGUAUUAAAGGGAGAACGAGUGUUAUGCGAAAGACGUACUGAAAUUUAUGGAUAGAAUUCACACAAUAGUGUGAGAUUAUUGCAUUAAUUUGAAUUAUUUUGAGGAUGGAUAUUUUUAUCCUAAAAGAAAAGAAAGGAAAAGAGGCCAAUCAUGAGGGAGGCUUUUACUCUUGGCUUUAUGCACUUUGAAUUUUGCAUAAUUUUCUGUCCACAUUAAUUUUUCCCAUAACAAAGAGAAAUCUUGUCCACUCGAUUCUCUUCUUAUAAAGUAUCCAAUUAGUGUUCUUCCAAAUUUUGUUAAUACCAACAAAUUUGAGCCCUAAAAGCUAUAUCAUUUUAAAUUCCCAAGUUGAGAUUUAUUUAUUUAGAAAUUCUCUCUAUUUAGAGGCCACCUACAGCUUUCAUUUGUAAGGAUCAAGAUUGCUGAGCUGAAAAAUAAGUGCUUUAUCAUAUUAUAGGAUUCUUUUUUUAAAUUAAAAAAAAUACUAACAAAAUCCAAUUAGAAUUCUUUUAACUAUAAUUCAACUUGAUAUGUUCAGAUCUUUUACAUUAACCCAUCUUCAUAAUUUACCCACCAACGUUUAAAUAAUAUAGUUGUAAAUAUAUUUUUAUUUAGCUUUGGCUCACUUUGUUGACGUAUUUUAAAAAUAUUCAUUUUAUUUUUUGUAUUUUAAAAAUUAUUCUCGGUUCUUAGGUAUGGAAAAGAAAAUGAAAAUAAAUGAAACAAUAUAAAGUAUAUGAACAAAAAUGGAUCUACAUAUAUUGUUUUUUAUGAGUUGAAGAAAUGUUAAAAGUAUUUUUCUCUAACUUAUUUGAUUUGAAAGAUUUUGUUUAUAAUAUGAAUAUUUGGGUCAAAAUUAGAACCUUUUAAGAGACUAUGAACAAAAUUGGAAAAUAAUAUAAAUUCUUUUAGAAUCAAAAUGCAGUGGUACUCUUUCAAUUGUUCAGCUAGAGACUAUGACUAUAAAUGUUAUAAUUAGCCAUUAAAAGAGAGUAACCCAGCUAGCCUACAAAGCAAGACAAAACUUAUAUGUUUGUUUUUAUAGGGUAGCCCACACCUUUGACCAAAUAACUCAUUUUUAAUUAAUUGAGUUCACCAUUAAUGCAUCAGUUUUUAUGACAAAUUAAUGGGUUUCAUGGAAUAAUAAUAAUAAUCUUUCCAUUUCAAACAAAUUUGUUUAGAAAUUAUUUUAUUUUUGAUAAUCAAUAAACCCCAACUUGUUUGUGGACACAAAGGAGUUUUGAUGAUACAAUAGUAACCAACAUAAACAUUAUAUUAAAAAAGAACAUCGUUAUUCCACUUCAAAAGUACAAACUAUACUAAUAUUUAUAACAAUAAUAAUCCAUGGUGAUUCACUGAGCUACUUGUUCAAGUACUGGCUUUGGAGUGGACAAACUUAGCUGCAAAUCAGGUUGAUGAUGAUGACGAUGAUGAUGAUGAUUGGUUGUUGUUUGAAAAUUGUUGAUCGUAAUUGAGCUUGAAGAUUUGUUGAUGGGGGAUUGAAGAAACUUGAAAUAUGGCUCAUGAUGACGUUGAUUAUAAUGAUACUCAAUCCAAUUGAGAUUUGUUAAUUCUGAAAUAUUUGGAAUUGGAGUUGGAUUCCCAAAGGAAAUAUUAUUGGAUGAAGCUGGUUGGAUAUUAUAAUUAUUAUUGGUUGGUUUCAAAUUGUUGUUGAUGCUGCUGCUGCUGCUGCUGCCUUUUUCAACCACUUGCACUGUCAAUUUGUCCCUUGCUGCAGCACCCUGUUGUCAUUCAUAAUAAACCAUAAACACACAUUUUUCUUUUGUAGUAUAUAGAGUAGUGAAAGUCAUUUACAAUCCCAAUAUUCAAAACCUAAUCAUCAUUGAAUUUGACACCAACCCUACAAAAAAGAAUCAUUCUAAAACACACAACAAUGAAAGGAUUAAAUUGAAAAAAACAACUCAAUUAGCUUUUCUGUUUAUUAUUUGGUUAUUGGAGAACCUUAGAAUUUCAUUUCUGUAGUUUAUAAUUAUAAUUCAGUUUUUAGGAUUUUAUCAAACCAUAUUUACUUAAAUUCUAAUUAAUAUUGAAUUGUAUUUUACUUUAGUGAGUUUUAGUUUAGUAUUAUAUAUUAUAUAGAUACGAACUGGUAUUUAUAUUAAACAAUUAGUUGUUAAACUUCACCUUCCUUCUCGUAUAUAUUUAUUAUCAUUGAGUAUUAUAUGUGUUUAAUUAAUGACUAGUCAAUAAAAAAGGAAAGUCUUAUACGUAUGCAAAUGGGUUAUUUAAAAGUAAUAGAAUAGUGUGUAUUAUUAUUUAUAUUGGAAGAGGAAUAUAAAACAUUAGUGACGAACUAAUUAAAUUUAAGUAUAUAUUGACAAUAUUGGCUUUUGUCUUUUAUUUAUAUGAAUAUUCACUUACUUAGAAAAUUGGGUUAUCAUUCAAAAUUCAAUCUUUGGCAAUUGGCACAGAGAAAAAACAGAAAUAAAAUAUGUGAAAAAUUAGAGAGUUUUGAGAGGGGGAAGUUUACGUCGAAAAGGCUGGGACGACGCUGUUUUCUUUUGUUGAGAGUUGUGAGUCGUAGAAAGUAUUUUUGUGCAUGACUAGCUACUUGAGUCGGAGUUCUUGUCGUCACAAAUUUCCUCGAAAUUCCUCUCCAAUCUCCUUUUCCAAGCUUUUCUAACCCAAUUAGAAACACCUUAUGCUCCUCUUCACUCCAUGGUACACCUAUUCAAAUACCAAAAACAUCCCGAGCUAGUAAGUUGGUGAAACGAUAAAACUAAUUAUAUAAUCAGCUAGAACGGAGAAAAGAUGAAAUGAUAUUCCUAGCUAGAAUUCAAGCAUGCAAUUUAAUGCUUUAAUACCAUAAUUAACCUAAAAAAAUAAGAAAUAAGAAUAGCCAUAUGACCAAAACGAAAAGGAAAAAGAAUAAUUAAAAGAAGAAAAACCAUGUUUUUGUUUUGAAUCUUUUGAAUUCAUGAUGAAUGAUUCAGUACAGUGCAAGAAAAAUUACCUUUUUUUCUUUCAUGGGUUUUGGCGACGAGGCCGUCUGAGAGAUAUCCAUUUGACAAUUUCUCAGAAGAAGAAGAGGACGAUAAAGAUGAAGAAGCCGAAGAAGAAGAAGAAGGCAAAGAAUCCAAACUAAUACUCUUCUUCAACAAGGUGGUAUGAUGAUGAUGAUGAUGAGUUGUUGUUCCAUUAUCAAUGAGUUGAACUCCAAAUAACUUAAACUUGGUUUCUUUAUGCUUUUGAAUGGUGCAAGUUCUUGAAUUGUGACCCACAUUCCCACAGUGUGAGCAUUUCCUCACCAUCUCUCUCUCUAUCUCUCUCUCUCUCUCUCAAAUGGAAUCUCAAACUAACACCAAAUUCUUUCAAAAGUAUAAUAUAAAGGGUUUAAAAAGGAAGGGGUAGCUGUGUUGUUGUUUUGAUUAAAUUAAAUUAAAUCAAAUCAAAUCAAUAGGGUUUGUGUUAAUUAUUAAUUAGUGAAGAAAGAGAUAUGAUCCUCUCCUCCUCCUAGGUUCUUUCUUUAAUGAUUAUUGACGUAAAUAGCAAGUCAAGAGGUGUGUGUGUUUGUGUCUCAUUGGAUCAUAUUCUUUUUCUUAUAUGAUAAUAAUAAUGAUAUGAUAAAACUUAUCCUAAAAAUGGCAUCUUUUUUAAAACUCCCACAUGACCAACGUGACCUUAUAUUUGUCCCAUUCUUUCUCAUAUCUCUCUAUUUUAUUUUAUUCUUUCUAUCCAUUUUCACCUUUUCUUUCUUUCUUUCUUUCUUUUUACUCUCAUUUCUACUUAUUCUAAGUAAGUUAGAUUACAUAUUUGCACACGAAUAGUUUGAAAAUUUUAAGGGUUUUUCUUUAAUCCUAAUAAUACUUCAUUUGAAUUUUUAAAGAAUUUUUUAUACCUAACAAUAGUUUUUGAAAUAUUUAUAAAAAAUUAACAGUAAUAAUACUAAAACUUUUAGAAAUUUAUCAAAAAAUAUAUAUAGUAAAUUUGACAUUCUAUCCAUGUAAAUAUAAGUAAAUAUUUUAAUUUAUUUUACUACUUUAAAAAAUGCUCGAAAAAUUGUAGUAGAAAAUAUUUACAAAAUUUAAAAUUUUAUCAAUUAUGGAUGUAUAUUAUUUGAAGGUGUCUUUUUUUAUUUUUUAAGUAUGAAACAUAAUUUUUUAAAAAAGCUUAAGAAGAUAUGUUUAAUUUUUUUUCUUUAAAUUACUAUUAUUUGUUAUUGAAAUUGGGGUGACCACAAAAUUCCCACCAUACAUUAUUGUGAUGGGAAAAAGGGAGUGAUGUUGAUACCAACCAACAAAACCCUAUUUUUAGUUGGAGAUUUGCCCAAAAAAAAAAAAAGAAGAAAUUUGAAAUAAUUUCUUGAAGAUUGCUCCAUAUAAAAAAAGAUGGGAUAAAAAAGAGAAUGAUUACAAGCAAGUUGGCAGAACAACUACUGAAAUAUCAACAUUCAACACAUUGUGACCAUACAUUUUUGUGGAAGCUAUUUCCAUUGAUUAUAAACUUCCAAAUCAAACAUUUCCAUACAUUCCCUACACACACACACAAAAAUACCAACUGUUUCUUUUAGAUUUUCAACUUUGUUAACUAUCACGUUAAUGUGAUAUAUAUGUAUUCAAUUUUCUUAACAUAUUAGUUAACUUGUCAAGUUGGCAAAAACCUUAAUUUCAAUAGUAUUUUUGGAAAGCAUUUUAACCUAUAGUUUUUAAGACGAAGGACAAAAAUGAAUUCCAUAUGAGUCUAAAGUUCAUUAAUUCUUUUGUAUAUGAUAAGAAAGGUAAGGCAUUGGCCAUCAAAUCUCACCAUUUAGAAAUCCCAUGUUGUCUCCAACAUGGUGGACCAAAUUUCCAUACCCACAAUAUCAUUAUCCCCUCUCUCUCUAUAUAUAUAUAUAAACUAUAUUAUUACUAUUUCUAUAUACUUUGCAUAAAUAAUAAUAAUAAUGCUUUGUGUUUGUCUAACAUGAGACAACUAAUUAACAACUUAUUAUAAUCUCAUUCUCUUUAAACAUAAAACCCUAAUUCACAUUAACCCAACUUGUCCCUGUACUAUUGUUCUAAUAAUAGCAUUUUUCACAUUGCUAUAUAUUUAAUCAUCCAAAAAGUAUUAUUUAAUUGAUUAUAAUUAAUUAGGUGACAAUUUUGUUAGAAUAUAUAUAAGUGAAUUAGCGAAUUAAAUUUAUGAAGAGAUUAUAUAUAUAUUUUUUUUAACCUUUUCAAAUGGUAAAAAGAAUUACUAACACAAUUUAUUAUUUACUUGAGUAUUAAGCAUCAUAUUUUAGGGAGGUGAAAAUGUUUUCUCUACCCAACAUUUACUAAUUAACUCUUUUGUUUUUACUGACCCUUUUCAAACUUUACACCAAAAAUAUCGUAAAGUAGUUUUAAUUUAAGCAUAUAUAUAUAUAGGGUGUGAAAAUGAUAAUGAUGCAUCUUUUUCUUUUAUAAAGUAGUUUGACUUAAUCACCUCUCCCCAUUUCAAUAUUCUUUUCGAUAAUUAAUCAAUGGACUUUCCCUUACCUGCACUCAUCUCGUUUUAAUAUUAAAAACUAAAAUAUCACAUAUACAAACUGCACCAAUCGAUGAUAAGUACUAAUAUCUGUCCAAGAAAUAUGUUUUUUUCUAAGUAAUUAAGAAACCAUCAUGUAUAACCACACUAAUUAAUUAAUUUACUUAAUCUCCUGUUUCUUUGGCCUAAUUAUUAAAAUCCUAGUUGCAAUCUGAAAAGGUGUAGUAUAAAUUAAUUAUACACAUCACACUUUGAAUGUAACCUUUUCUUGUUCCCUUCAUUUCUCUUUAAUAUUUAAGGCCAAGUUGAGUGGAUAUCUUAUUAAUUUAUCAAAAUUAAACUCUAAUAUAUAUUGGUGAAUUUGACUGCUACUUUGGUUUCUACUUUGAUAUAAAAUUAGCAUAUGACAUAAAAAUAAUUAACUAAGUUGUUUUUUAUUCACUGUCGUCUAGUGAGUGAAGGAAGAUAGUUAAAGUAACACAUAAUGUAAGUUAUUAUAUGUUACAAAAUUAAAGCAUUAUCAUUUAAAAUAAUGGGAAUUAAAUUAUAAAUUUAAUAAAUCUUUCCAAACCAUAUAUUAUACUUUUAAUUGAAUUUUACAUUUAAUUGGAUUUUAAACUUUCAAUUUGACUAACCCAUUUAAAUUUUUAGGACUAAAUUUGUAAAUCUAAUAUGAAAUUAAUAUGAUUCAAGCCUAUUAAUUUAAAACAUUGUUGAGUUUCUAUGUAUGAAAUUAUGGUGAAUCUUCUCGAAGAUAGUGACUAAAUAAAAUUAAUUAUCACAUUUGCUAUAGUGACGACUAAAUAAAUAAAGUAACAAUAUCUUAAUUAAGGAAUAACGACAAAAUUAAACUUAUUACAAAUAAUUAAUAUUUAAAACGAAGCAAUAUAGAGAGAGAAGAAUCAAUUAUGGAAAUAAUAAUUAAUGGAAGUUUAAGAUAAUGUUUUAAAUUAACAAAAAAGUAUAUGGACCAAUUUGGUUCUCCAAAGUUCAAAACCCUCUAUUAAUUAAAUUAUAGACAAUUAAUUAAGAAAAUUCAACUUGAAUCUAUAUAAAAGCUUAAUUAAUUUAGAGAUAAUGACCAAAAGCUUAGGGGUUGUGUGGAGAUCAUUUGCUUUAAAAAACCCUACUUAAUUUUUUUUAAUACAAAAUAAUUAUGAGUGAUGGGACCAACUCAACAUCCAAACCAAAAUUUCUAAGGUAAUUAAUUUACAUUGUGGAUAUUAAUUAAUCAUGCCAUUUUUUAUUUCCAAAAUUAGACUUUAUUAUAAGAAAAGUUAAGUCUAACUUAAUUAAUUGAUUACAAAUUAUGAAAUUGACUAUUACACGAUAGGUUGAAGUGAUCAUAACAUAAUACUAAUGCAUAUCAAAUUAAUCUAAUUAGUGCAUCUAUGAUUCUUAAUUAUAAGAAAACAAUAGUGUUUAUAAUUAAUAAUGGAAAUAAAAUUAGACUAAUUCAUUGAAUAUGGUCUAAAUAAUCAGGUAAUUAAUUAAGGCAAUGAAUAUAAUCAAGGGAUGUUCUCUCUAUCUCCAAUAAUCAUGCAUGAUAUAGGAAAUUAAAGUUGAUUAAUUAAGAUGGUUGAAUAUUCCCUAAUGUUGACAUUCUUCUUUCUUUUUUAUUAAUUUUGCUGUAUUGAUUAAUAGUUAUUUUUUAGUCCUGACAUUAAGCUUAAUUAAUUUUACGUAUAGUUUAAGGAUGAUUAAAUUACAUGUGUGAUGUCACUUGAAAAUGUGUUGAUUAUUUAAAUUAUAAGCAACCAUAUUAUUGCAUAUGAAAUGAAAUUAAACACUAAUUAAUUUGCUCUUGCUCUCAUGAUUAAUAUAAUUAAAUUAGCCUCUUUAGGUUACGUGAUGCAUCUGCCCUCUAACUUAUCUUCAAUUGGUUUAUUAGAGUGAUAUAUAUGUAAGAAAAGGAAAUUAAAUUAAAUUAAGAAGAUAAUUUUUCUUAAUUACAAGCUAUCAAAUUGUUAGCUUAAUUAAUUAUGAAGAUUAAUAAGGCAUACUUUAUUUAAAAGAAAACUAUGAUAUACUAUAAAUAAAAGUGUAUAUGUCAUCAUGUAAAAUGAUAUUCUGAAGUUUGAAGAACACACAGACUAUUAAAUUAGUAUUAUAUUGUGAAGACAUGUAGAGAAUUUGGUUACAAAGUUUUGUAUUAGUCAUACAAAUUUUAAUUAAUAUAGGUCUAAUUCAAUCCUUAUUAUUAAUUAAGAUUUAAGUCAAUAAUCCAACAAAAAAGAUUACAUGAUAUUUUCUUUCUCUUGUUAAUUAAUAUUAUUCACACCUAAGCAAUAAUAACAUAUAUUCACAUUAUUUAUAUUUGAAAAAUAUUAAUUAAUUAUACCAAUUUAAAUCUUAUGUUAUAGAGUGAAUCAAUUUAACCUAUUUAAUUUCUAAUUGAAAGGUCUAAAUUGGAUUAAUAUUUUUAAAUUUCAGUGUUCAAAUCAAUAUUCUUACUAACUGUGAGGGGUAAAUAAAUAAUGUACUUAUUCAAAAUUAAGAGAUAUUUAAUUAUGUUCGUUUUACAAUUUAUCAAACGUUGAUCAGAACAAACUUCAUAUAUAAUCUAAAUUAGAGUGAUAUAUUUCAACCGACACGAAUCUCUCACCUAACUCCAAUAAUAAAAAAUAUAACUUGUGAAGUCAUUAAAUUACAUAAUUAAGAAAAACCAAUAGUUAAGAGGAGAAUAUUCAAGAAUCUAAAGACAACUAUACUAUACCAUAAGACUAAGCAAUUUUGGAAUCAUGUCUACAUCUUUUAUCUAACCAAAUAAAACAAACAAAUAAAGUAAAAGCCAUUGACAAACAAAAUUCCUCUAAUAAGCAAACUUUGGUUAUGAUUGAAAAUUAAACUAAGCCAAACUUUGCACCCUAAGUCAAAAAGGGACCCUCCUAAUUAUCUUAAUCACGACUAUUUAUUUACAUCAAUGAGUUUAAUUAUGAUUUAAUGUGUUUUUUAUUAAAAUUUUAUCUCAAUUAAUUUAAAAUUAUUUUUAAAUAUAGUAAAAUAAAUUAAAAUAUUUAUAAAAAUAUCAUAUUUGAUAGGACAUAAUAUAACUAUUUAUUAUUUCUAUUGUCGUAUAAAUUCAAAUGGAAAUAAACUAUGAUUUUAAUUAUUUUUUCCAUCAAUACCUGUUUUUUUUAAGAUGAACAAUAGAACAUUAAUCAUUUAAAUAAUUCUUAUGAAAGAUUAAAAUAUUGGUUUGAAAAAUAAGUCAAUAAUUAUUUUAGCAUUAUUCCCAAUAAGAAAUGCUAUUAAUCUAAUAACCAUUUGAAAUUCUAAGGUUGUGGUUGUGAAGUUUCCUUCUGUACUAAUAUAUAUGAAAUGAAUGCAUAUGUAUAUAUUUAACUUUUAUAUUUUGAAGGAAUCAUAGGUUAUAUGUAUAUAUUUAUAUUUGAAUAAACAUGUCAUUAAAAUACACAAAUUAACAUUUAGAGGUCCAAUUAUGAUUUAAUUUGAUCAUUCCUUUUGUAAUUUUUUAACUUAAUAGAAAAAUGGACAAAUGCCAAACUGAGUAUAUAGAUUACUAUUUAAGCACAUGGUCUCUUUAUUGUCUAUUUGUAUUUUGUCCAAUUAAUUGUUAGUUCUUACACAUCUCCUAGCAAUAAUUUUGAUGUCACAUAUAUCAUAUUAAAGUAUAUUAUAAUAAAGUGUAUCAAAUUAAAUUUAGUUUAUAGUUUUUUUUUUUCUUUGUUAUAGUUCAAAUUUGAUCCCUAUAAUUUUCAAAGUUUCAAUUUAGCCCUUGUUAAUGAUUGAAACUCUCUCCUUUACUUGAUGUCAUCUUCUAAUAUACAUAUAACCAACAUAUUAACAUAUCUUAGAUGUAUUUAAGAUGCAGUAAUGUCUUGUAAUAUAACAAUAGAGAUAAUUAGUAAAAUGCAACCCAACUGUGGUGAUGAAAAUGACCAUUAGAAAACCAGUACACUAAAUUGAAACUAUAACUAAAUUAAUUAGAUGUAUGGAGUGAUAAACAUUCAUAAUUUCAUACCUCCCCACAAUCAUAUCAAUGUAGUUAUUAUAACGUAUAUCAAAGUUGUUAAGUUCGUCGAAACUGCUACUCUCUUUAAUAGCAGCAGGUCAAGACUUCUUUCUGAUAUUUGAGAUUUUGAUCAUCACAACACAUUCUAUUAGAUUAUAUUUCUCUUUUUUGUCCACAAAAUUGUAAUUUAAUUGCUCACAUUUUGGAAUGUAAUGCACCAUAAACUGACGUCCUUUUCGUAUAGCUUAAAGAUCAUUCUCCACAUGUUAAUGUUGCUCUGUCAAAAUGAUAUUCAUCUCUUUGCUUUUCUUAUAUAUUGAACGAAAAUGGACAUUCAAACUCUCACGUUUUGGGCCGGGAUGUUAGGCCCCGGGCCGGUUUCGGGAGUUAUAAAUGGGCCGCCUUUAACUAGUUGGGCUUGGGCCGUAACAUGAAAAAGCAGUAUUGGGCAAAUCCUGUAAUUCAUACAGAAAGCAGGGGUGAAUUUGCAAACUUGGUCAAAAUUUAUUGAUAUCAAUAAUUAAUAUUUACAUAUCAUAGCUUAAAUGAUUUUACUUUAUGGCAUGUAAAGUCUAUCCACUACCAAAAAGAAAUUGCCUUUUUUAACUAUAUUUUCUAUUGUUCUUUAUGUUUAAAUUUUAUAUUUUACUUUUUUUGUCAACUUGAUCUUUUAAAAUAUUACAUUAUGUCAAAUGUAUUAGAAAUUUGUUGAUAAUUUAAAAACAAAUUGAAAGACCAAUGACCAAUUUUUAGGACACAAACAAACUAAAUAUAGUUAUUAAUAGCACCAAAUAAAGGUAUUGAGAUUUUAUGAUAUGAAGUUUAUUAAUAAAAAUUUACUCUCUAAUACAAUUUAUUUAUUUUGUGUCUAAUAGAUUCUAGAAAUUUAAAAAACACUCUCUUAAACUAAAAAUCAUAGCAAAACGAAAAAAGAAAUUGAGAAUAAUGUUUUUAUUUGUUGAGUUCUUUCAAAGAAAAGAAAAAAGAAAUUGAGAAUAAGAUUUAAUAUUUAGAAUAUUAUAAAAGUUGGGACAAAACGAAGACAAGAGUCAUUUAAAACAUACCAUAGUACUAUGCACUAAAAAAUGCUAAUUAUUAGUGACAAAGAAGACCUUUCACAUCUAUGCUUUCACUUUAUUGCUAAAGGGACCUUAUAAAAGCUUCUUUAAAAAAAAAUAUUAAAGGGUAUAUUUUUACAUUCGUACAACUUAUCCUUUGAAGAUAUAAUAAGACUAAAAAUAAUUUUAUUUAGUAGGUUAAAAUUUGUUAUCGAAAGUUUAAGAGUAUAGUUGUAACUUUUACUAUACUUUGAAAAUAGUUUUAAUUUUUGUAGUUAUUGAGUUUUUACAAUAUCAUUCAUGAUGUCAUAGCAAUAUUUAAAAUAUAGAAUUCAAAGUGUGACAUACUAUUUUUUAAAUUCUAACUUGCUAGUGAACUUAGAAUAGAACGGAUAAAACAAAUUAAUGUACUAAUGGUUAGUUUUCAAACGUGUUUGGUUUGGUCGGUAACGUGUAUGUUAGGAAGAUUUGAAACAUAUACUAUUUAGUAGAUACUAGUAUCACAUGUCAAUUGAGUUAUAAGCUGAAGGUAGAUACUAGGAUGUUAUUUUUUACCCUAAGAAAUUUAUUAUAUAGUUCAAAAGCAGGAUCAUAUUUUGACUGAGGAAUAAUUUUGGAGAUAAUGAAAAGCCCAAGAAGAAACCCCAUGUUGGUUGGUUUGAACUUUUGAUUGGUCUCUGUGUCUUUUCAAAACUGAGCACACUGCUCUGAGUCAUGGAGAGGUCCGGACAUUGGCGACCCACCAUGGAACCUCUCUCUGAAUCCCAAUGUGAACCUCUCUUUUAUCUUUCUCACCUUCUCCAUUUUCUUUCAAUUUUCUCCCUUUAAUAAUGGGGGUCGAAAGAGAUUGUGAAAAAAGGCACACAACCCCAAAACCCCUUGAAACCCCUCUUUUUGUUUGUCAAAAUUGUUUGCUUCUUCAAAUUGAAAUUCCAGUUUCUGGGUUCUGAAAUACACAAAAAGCAAAACCCAAGUUGAGAAGAAAAAGGUAGUAAUCAGUAUUCUCUUUUAGUAGUAGUACAGUAUGUGAAACCAAAAAAUGGGUCAGGAAAAAGAGCUAAGCUAAGAGACAUUGAAUUUGAAAUAUUUUGUCUUGCAGUGUGGAUUGCCAGCAUUUCUCUGUUUGGGUUUGCAGGCAAACCAAGCAAGGAACAGACCCCACAACCUCAGUUUUUCACACUCAACCAUGUGGUAAUGGUAAGAAAAAACAUAUAUUUACUAUCAAUUUUAGUUUCCUGAGUUUUUUUCUUUUCUUAUUUUUGUCAUUGUGCUGUCAAAGAAUUUGUUCUUGGAAAAUCAAUCUCGAGGUUUGAGUUUCUUUAUUAUCCAACGUGGAAGCUGAAUGAUAAUUACACUUGAUUUUAAUAAAUGUACUGUCUUUUCUGUGAAAAAUAUUUUUUCUCUUUAAACUUUCAAGAACCGUACACUCUUUGAAGCAUAUUUUGUCUAUUAAACUCUUCAUUAAGAAAGAACCUUCUCUUUCCGUUCUUACUUGAGUAAUUAUUAAAGCCCACUUUAUGAGAGAAAGAGGUCUUGGUUGGAACUUCUUGAACCUGAAACGUUAGUUGACCUUGACAGGACAGAAAUUGGAUUAGUACUUUCAGAGAGACAAUUGAGAUGGUUAGAAAUUAAACCCCUUUAAUGGUUUCACUUACCAAGCCUGCAGUGCAGAGAAAAAGGCAAAAGCCAGAAGCAUUCUCUCUAGUAACAGCUACAUGGAAGUGUUGCACCAACAUUGAGGUUGUAGGUCCACAUUAUUUCCUCUAGUUAUUUCUGGUCAUUAUCCAGAUCCCAUUAUCGCUACUUGGUCAGAGCUCUAAAGAAAAAUCAGAGAAAAGAUUUAGAAAAUGGAGGGAAAAGUUUGGGUUGUAUCACAUCAGAUCCAACGGCAGAGCUCUAGAUUUAAGAUAGAAUGGUAAUGGAAAAUGGAAUCCUGAUCCGAGAAAUGAAGGCUAUCUAUUUGCAUUGUUUCAUCAUUCUGGUGUUACUCAAUGAAUAACCAUAAUGGUCCGAAUACGAAUAUUAAGGAAGGUUAGUCUAAUAAUUGAAGAAAUGCAUACACCCAAAACUAGCUGAUGGGUGCUGUUUUCAUUGCGAGACAUUAAAUUUGUCAAAGAUAUCCCACAAGAUCUUCUCGUCAGUUUUGGUUUGCUUGCAUCAUCAUUUUCAGGCUCUUUUCUCUCGCCUUUCUCUGAGACUAUAUCUGUUCAAAAGUACACUGCUGAAACAGUAGUCUCUCUUUUUUCACAUUUGAUUGCCUUAAGUUCUUAGUUGUUUGAUUCUGAAGAGAAAGUGUGAUACUUUGUUACUGUAUUACUCUUGCUUCUCAUCACUUUGGCUUUCUUGUUCAGAAUAGCUUAAAAAGAAAGGGACUGUCUGAAAAAUGGUGCUGAGAAGACCUGGCAGGAACAGGAAUUUCAACAGAGAGAAUCCAGAUAUUUUGAUUAUGAUGAUUGCAGUGGAUCAGAUAAUAAGAGGUUGUGAGCAGGACAAAGGAGAUGGCACAGAGAGGAAGGGGAUGGGCCCUUUAAAGCCUGCAACAAAGAGUGAGUGGUUUCUGCAUCCCAAGAGCUAUGGUCUCUCCUCUUUCUUGCUCUCCACCCCCUGGUUUUCUCUUGUGCGGCUGAUACUUCCUUCUAUCUUUAUUUAGUGGGUCCAUUUCCUCCAUCUCCACCUUCAUGCAGAGUCCUCUUUUUUGCCUCUUCACUCUCUCUCUCUUCCUUUUAAUGGUUCUCUGAGAUGGGUGUCAUUCAUUUUCCAGAGCUGUACGUAUUUUAGCUUUAAAGUUUGAGAACAGAGAUUGAGAUUAUACAUCUCCCUGCCGUUCAAUCCUCCAAACUUAAGCUUCUCGGGGUUUGAGCGCUUGAAGCUAUUCCAUUCUCCUUUUUUCAUGCAAAAUUUUGUAUCACUUUUCUUUUACCAUCGGCUUUAUGUUGUUGUGAUUUGGCAGAAGCCGGAAAAGUGGGAAUACAGCACCAGUCAUUAUUACUUCUUUUCCCCUUGUUUUUUUCUAUAAAAGCAAAGCUUCUCUUCCACUUUAUCUGAACUUUCACAAUGGCACCCUUUUCUGGAGAAACAAAAGAAACCAAGUUCUUUGAAUCUUCUCCUUUUUCUUUUUUAAGUUGUCUUUGAUCACCUGUGAGUGAAGAACCAUAAAGCAGUGAACAUUAUAGCAAUUUUUUUUCGUUUUAUAACUUGCAGGUUUAAAGCUCUUCACUAAGCCAUCACAUCCAUUUAAUUUGCUUAGAAAUUCAGGACACGGUCAUUUUUUUUUCAGGGGAUUUGGUGUGGGGCUUUCGCUCUAAGUUUCUCAUCCUAUAUAGGAUGACAGAGAUUCAUCAAAUGGAAGGUUGGUUUCUUUGUCAUUUUAUGCUAAUGGCUCAAUGUUUAUGUUCUGGCUGGUGGUUUACAGAGUGAGUUUUGAUGUGGACCUUUAUUUCUUCUGUCUUGUAUGAUGUUAUGUUUGUUCCCUCCUUUGUAUCGUGUGUCAAAAUAAAUUGAACAUCUUCAACGAAUGGCUUGUCAAUAUUAAUUUUUUGCUGGUCCCUAAACGUAACAUGCUUUUCACUCUUGUGGCAAUAGGUUCUGGAUAUGUUACAACUACUAAUUUCCCUUUCCAACUCUGAAUAAUAAUAAUAUAGCAUAGCCUGUCUCUAGAGGAAUGUGAAUUUGGAUGUCUGGAUUGAGCUGCAAGUUCAUUUCUUUUUCCAUUCAACUGAGAAGUUCAUUUUUUGUUUGAUAAUGCUAUAUUGACUUAUAAAUGCUAUUGAAAUCGCAGCUAAAAAGUGAAUGUGGUUUGAAUCGAGUAUGUUAAUCUCAGCUGUUGCUUUGGAUAAAGAAUGGUAGUUUUCCGUCUAGACUGCGUAUGGGUGGGCGAAUGAUUUGAUGAAUGCUCUGGUGGAUAUGGUAAACCCAAAUUCUGUUGUUGUAUGUGAAAUUCUGCCUCUUGGCUUUUAGAACUCAGUUGAUACGUCCAAUUAAUGAACUAAGCAAUAUUACAGCUGGAUUUCCUAUCUUUUUAAGUCUGCGGGAGUCUGGAUGCUCUGCUCUUACUAGUGCUGAUAAUCAUAUAGUUGAACAAUUGACAUUUUGAGGUUUUCCAAUGUCUACUGCCCUGCAACGAAUCGAUAUGGGAGAUGCUUGUCUGGGUCCCUCUGGUAAUGCUGAGUUUCAAAAUCAAUUGGCAGUAGCCAUUCCUAUUUCUCUGUUUCAAUCUACCUCUCUUGCUCCAGUGAAUGAUAUUCGUGGAAAUACAAAAGAUUCAGCAUUUCCAGACCCACAGUUCCAGCAAUUAGAAACCUUUAGAACGUGCUUCUUACACAGUUACUCUAAUGCUUCAAAUUCUUCAUUUGCAAGUUCUCUGAUCUGUGAAGGUGAUGAGUCUCUAUGUAAUGCAAAUAAUAAGUGGGAAAGCGAUAGGUUUCAUUGUAUUCAGCAACUUUCUGGGGAGAAUCCGGAAACAUCUGAUUCCCAGACCGUCUUGUCCAUGGAACACCUGCACCAGAAUGGCUGGAUGUCAUCUAACACUAUGAACUCUAAGUUAUGGAAUGAGCUUUCUCUAAGCCUUGCUACAACCGAACCCGUCCUCAGUGGAGGAACUGAUUUCCUGGACCAGUAUUCUCAGUUGACUUUUUCUGGUGCUACUCAACCUUGCUUGAACAGCACAGAAUUAGCCUCGAACUUAAAUUCAGGCAGCUCUAGGGACCUCUCUCUAAGUUAUGGAUGUGGUAAUUCUGUUCGCCUUUCUCGAGCAAUAGCAGGAUCUAGAUAUCUUUCGGUCAUUCAAGAUGUACUUUCUCAAAUUGCAAGCUAUCCACUGGAAAACUCAGAUCAAGUUGAUCAUUCAACUACUGCAACUGGGUUUGUGCCGUUGUCAUCAUCAAGUUCCCUGGAUGAUGCAACGAUUGAAUAUGGUUCUGAUGUUACUGGUAGAUACAGUUCUCAAAUGGAGCCGGAAUGGCAAAAUCUAUCUGUUGAUGCCAAGAAGUCCCAUCUGUUGACUCUACUACAAUUGGUUGGUUAAUUUAAUAUAGCGUUUCUCUGAUUUUUAUCUUUUUACCCUUCUUAUACUGAAAAACUUGAUAGUGUUUCAGAUUGAUGAGAGGUACACUCAAUGCUUGGAUGAGAUUCAUACCGUUACUUCUGCGUUUCAUGCUGCUACUGAUUUGGACCCUCGCUUGCAUACUCGAUAUACACUCCAGACGAUCACUUCGGUGUAUAAAAACUUGAGGGAGAAGAUUACCAGUUGUAUUUUUGCUAUUGGGAAGCAUUCUAACGCAACGUGCACCAAGGAGAAGGAAAAAUUCUUUGAGGCAACAUUCUUACAGAAGCAGUGGGCUCUCCAGCAGUUGAAAAGGAAAGAUAAUCAAUUAUGGAGGCCACAGAGAGGCUUGCCUGAAAAAUCUGUCUCCGUUCUUAGGGCAUGGAUGUUUCAAAAUUUUCUCCAUCCGUAAGAUUUUGUGACAAAUCUGGUUUACUUUUUGAAGAUACGUAUAGUAAGUUGAAGGAAUGUUUGUUCUUUGGUGAUUUUUCAGGUACCCCAAGGACACAGAGAAGCAUUUACUUGCAGUAAAAAGUGGAUUAACUAGAAAUCAGGUUCUUGCUGCUUCAAGAUUUCCUUCAACUUUCAUGAGUUCUCCUCACUUUUACUGAGUUCUGCUAUUCUGGACUUUGGACAGGUGUCUAAUUGGUUCAUCAAUGCUCGUGUCCGAUUGUGGAAACCGAUGAUCGAGGAAAUGUAUGCUGAAAUGAGCAGAAGAAAAUCCAAUCAAAAUGAGGAGGGAAUCGAAAGAAUUCAUUGUCCCAGAUAAGCAUUAGCAGUGAGAAGAUGUGGCUCGAACUGUGAAAAUGAUAGACAGUAUUGAGCACUGUAUGGAACUUGAAUUGAUUAGAAAAGUGUACUAGACUGAAUUAAAUUCAACUAUAUAUUCUUUUUGACAAUUUAACCUGAGAAAUUUCUUUAGCUUCGCAUUCCUGGCUACAUCAUAAUAGACAAUAAAAUGCAAUUAGUCAGCAGAGAAACAUCACCACAAACUUCAUUCUGAAAAGAAGGAAAAAGAAAACACGAUCAAUAAGCGAAGUUCAAUCUAAAAACAUUAUUUAUUAAUUGAAAAUAAAUAAUUCUGAGAUUUACAGAGAAUGGUGCCCUCCUCCUCAACUAACUCUUUUGAUUACAAAUGAAAGAAUGACAAUUUCUGAUUUCUGCCUAGAAGUUUUCACUAUCAAAUAUUCUGUUUCCUUCUUUAUCUACACCCCACACCCACACCUCUCAUUCACGAACUGAUGGAUUGCCAAAGAAAAAACAAAAAAAACUGUCCCAACUCCUCACAGUACAUAUAAAUACAAAAAGUGAUUAAUAUUUUUUGUUGCGCCUCCUUUCAUCGUCUUGUUGUUCUAGACUUGCAAGGAGAUUCUUGUUUUUAUCGGUUUCAACUUCAAUCCCAUACUUUCUGGUGACAGAAGCUCGGGAGCUAUGCAAGAAGGGCUCAAGGGGCUUCUUGGGCUGACGCUAAAAUGAGAUGGCCUAUACAUGCCAUAUCCCAUGAGAAAAUACUCCAUAGGUAUCAACAUUGCAUCAGGCUGCUCCUCUGUCACCAUUGACCCACAUGACUGAACCUAAGAUGUGAGAAUAGCCCCUUUUAAUUCAUAGUAGUAUAAAGCUCGGUUUAUGAUUUUCAUGUAUAUUUAAUCUCCAAAAAGGAAAAAAGAAAGUUCAACAUACUUCCACUAGGGCACUGUAUCUUCUGUCUAGUUUGACAGUCAUGUGGUGAGCCUCUGAAUGGAACGGGGACCUGUCCCCAACAAAUAUCAAUGAACGGCACUUUAGUUUCCGUAACCCUUCUGAAAUGUCGGGUCUCCUGCAUGAAAGAAAAAAAAAGUUUAGGAGGGCCUUCGACCCCAUAUGUGUAUCAUCUAACUAAUGUAAUUUCACAUCAGAGGUAUAGAGGAAAAGGACCCCAACAAUUGUCAAGCACAAAUUCAAAGAUUGGAGUUAGAUGCUUACCCAUUCAUUGCUUCAAGAAACCUCCAGACGUUUGAACUUUGCCUCUCGUCAAGUGACUGUAGAAAGAACAUGAUCAUAAUGUUUGAUCAAACAAAUGCUCAACUCUUAAAAUCUGUCAAGUUUUCCAACUCUGGAAUAACUGACAGUUUAAAGUUGCUAAAAGAAAACGAUGAAAAUGCUGCAGUACUCACUCUUCUGCAUGCUUGAACUAAAUCUGACUCUGGUACUUGAGAACAACCACGAGCAUCCUACAACCAGCACAGUACAAAUGUCUAAUCAAACUCAGUUGGGAUGAAUAACUCUAGUAAGAGAGUUUGAGUUUGUGCAAGUAAACCUGCAGUUGGUCUGUGUUUAAGUUGAGAAGAAAAAAGAGUUUAAAAGUUCACACGUUCAAGUGCAAUUUUCAUAUCAUCAAAUUGGUUUUGAAGGAAUAAAAACCGAUUUCAUGGUGAUUUUGAAAACAAAGCAAUUUUCAUUUUUAGACCUACCUUACUGAAAUACCGCUUCAGCAACAACUCCUUCACUACCCCACACAUGCCAUAGAAAUAAAGCAAAUUUGACAUCACCUGCAUAUGGAAAAUCUGUUAAUAAGAUGAUUCCAAUAAACCAGAAGACGAUCAUAAUAGUUCUUUCGUUCAGAAAGACGACCUUAUUAUACAACCAUUCUGUCCAACAGGGCGCUGUGCAUAUGGGAGAAAUCAAUAUCAAACCAUGAACACGAUGUCUGUGCUUCAUCUGCAACCAACAAGUGCAAUCAAUAUAUGACAAAAGUUUACAAGAGGAACUGAAAGAAAAAACCAUGGGGGGGAAGGAUAAAGUAAUCAAGUGGAUGGUGAACAAAGAGAAAAAUUACAGCAAAGAGAGUGAGGAUGUAUGCUCCAGCAGUAACACCCAUACACAUCACAGCACUAAGUCUGGGAGAAAGAUAAAGAAGAAGAGUAAGUCAUCAGAUCCGUGCAUAUUCAUUUCGGAUAGAGCUCAAGUGUAAAACAAAUAAAACAGCAAAGCAUCAGACCAGUGGAAUUCAAAACUUUAAACAAGUCGAAGUUAUUAAAAAAAAAUUGAAGAUAGCCAAAAGGAAUAUCGAAUUACCCAAAAUAGUUAAGAACUUCAGCAAUUUGAUCUGCUAAGUCAUCUGCAGAAAGUACAGGAUCAUCAGGGCAAAUUGCAGCAGCUCCUAACUGCAACUCUUGAACAAGGUCCCAUUAUGAGAAGAAUUCAUGUGGAAGUAAAAAAGACAACGUACUUGUUGGAAAGUUCAGUUUCAUUGAAGCAACACCAAAAAAAAAUUACACAGUAGAUUAUUUUGUACAUAGCAUAGAUUAAAAGAAAUUCACUCGUACAAAGUAAUUUAUUUUAUGUAUGUGUGUGGAAAAAAAAAUAAUGACAUCAGUAGAGAUAUUAGAACAUCCCAAUUAUACAAACCUCGUGUCCGGGAGGGCUGAUAUGAUAUAUGCAAAAGUUGUGAAGCAAUAACGAACAAGCUUCUGGACAAAACAUUAAUCCUUGGAAGCAGAACAUAUCUGAUAAAUAAUAAAACAUAGCACGUUUAAACAUUGGUAACAGGAAAAAUUAAAGAAAGAUUCUAAAAAUCAAAGUCACAAGUCAUAGAAUCAUUUCAUUUUAACCCCAUAUCACAAUUUAUUAACCUUACUAUCCUCUUUAAAUAACUUAUUUUUGUCUAUUUUCAAAGAAUAAGCUUGUCUAAUAAAAAUAAUGGAUUUCAAAAGCUACUAUUAAAAGAUUUAACAAUUAUGUGGGUGAAAACAAACCAAAAAGGCAGAUGUUCCAGCAAAAGGACUGUAGAUAAUAGAGGUAAGAAUAACCAAUAUUCUGGAUUCCAAAAAAUUCAACACGUUAAAUUUAAAACAAAAACUCCAUCUAAUCAACCUUAAACUCCAAAGUGUGUCUAAUUUAUUCAAAGACUCCACUUCUACACUCAAAAUCAUGUUUUGAAUAACAAUUUACAUGACACAUUCUACAUACUCACGAUUUAGAGCUAAAUCGGGAUAAGUGAUUAAAGCUGGCUUGUCCAGGUCUCCAACCACGGUGACAGAAACAACACCAUAACAGGUUUUCACAAGAUACUCCUGCCAAAAAAAAAUCGAUUGAAGAAAUAUUAGUUUUCAAACGUAGUCAUCUGAACUAGAGAAUGGACGCACCAAAAAAAGGCGGCAAGUAAUACAGAACCAUAAAAUGAACUACUAUAAAAAGGGAAUUGCAAAAGCUUAAAUAUAAGGAAAUUCGCAGUUGAAGACGCAAACAAUAAAACAGAUUAAAGAAAGUUAGUCUACUAAAAUUCAAAAUGUAUUUCUAAACUAGUAAAAAUCCCAACAUCCAUCCACUUUUGGUAGACCGUUGAAUUCCGAACGAAAAUCAACACCAAUUACCCUUAGAAAAUCUAACUAAAAUCAACAAUGCACAUCCAAAAACCUUAAUUACCUCCGUGUAAAACGAUCACUAAUUACACGAAUUCAUCCAAUAAAAAACAUAACGAACCCCAUGUUUCAAUUCAAUCCAAACUUCCCAGCAUGUUCUCAAAAAGCAAACAAAGCACAGUGUUCAAACACAUGAAACCAGACGGAUUUACACAAGCAACAGGAAAUGCAGGUACCUUUCCUCCACAAGAGAUCGACUCCAUAUCCACCGAAACCGAGUCGCUCGAAUCCCCCAUUUCCUUCUUCCCUUAUUCUCUCACCUUUCUCUCUUCCCCUAAAUCCUCCUUCCCUUAUUCGCUACUCAAUACACAGAAUGCUCCUUCUUCCUUUUAUAUACCACCAAAUCUCUUCAACAAUUCCACCACUACAUUAUUUGGGGGAAAAAUUUCAACUCGUCCCUUCGAAUCGUCCGAGUCAAUACGAGUCACCGACGCCGCGUUCCCCUUCCAUCGCACAUUGACAGAAACCUCACGAGCGCCCUGUAACGAACAAACUAUAACCCGAUACCCUGGUUGGUUUAACCAUGGUUAGGAAGCCGACAGUUUAUUUGAAAUUACUUAAAUACCCACAAUUUCCCUUGACAGCGACCUCCUCUCUUACCACAUGAAAAAGGGCGAUUUUCGUCUAUUCACGUUGAUUUUUUAAUUAGUAAUAAAGAGGGAAAUAGUAAGUAGUUAAGCUUUGACUAAGGAAGAGAUAAAAUGAAAAUAAAAUUAAUAUAAGGGAAGUGUUAUUUUUAUUUGUGGGACCUGCGUUUAUUUAAAGUAACGUAAUCAUUUAUAUUAUAAAGUAUAUAAUCUGUCACAAAUUUUGGGGAGAGGUUUUUCCUUAUUUUUCUUUUUUCAAUUAUUCCAUUUAUAAUAUGGUAUUGUAUUUUUGUUAUUUAUUGCAUUGCCUAAAAGUGGGGAGUGGAUUUAAUGAAAAUAAUUUUAGAGGAUCUACUUGUUUUUAAAUUAGUUUCUGUUUUUGUUAAUUUUGUUUAAUUACUUUUUUUUGUGCAUAAAUACAGUUGAGUUUUUAAUAGUAUUGUUGCACCAUUAAAGUUAAAACCUUUUCUUCUUCUUUUUCUUUUUAAUAAGGUUAGUUGUCAUAUACCAUAUUUUCUUGCCCUAAUAGAUUUCAUCCGUUUAUUGAAUAAUAAAUUAUUGCCUUUUUAAUUAAACUUUCUAUAAUACUCUAAAAAAAUAUCAUUUCGGGAUGAUUUUGUUUGGUAUAGGUGUGAAAAUGAUAGAUUGAAUCUCCAACUUAGUGAAGUAUAUGUGAAACAAAGUUCAACUGACAUUAGAUGUGUAUUGUCACAUUCUAUGUUAAAGGAUACCGAAUUCAUGAAUCUUCAAAACAAAAAACAUUAAACAAUAACAUGCAUCCAAACUAUUGUAAUAUUUUCGUGUGAAUGGUGUUGCUUGAGCGAACAUUUUUUAUAAAUAACAAUGAUGAAAUGUUACAAUUCUAAAAAAAAAUAACUAAAUUUUUUUUCAAUUUUUAUUACCCUUUAUUUUAUUAAAGAAAUACCAUUGAAACCCUUCUUAGAGAUUUUACUUACAGUGUCAAUUAUUUACGUAUAUACUUAUAGAACAAAAUCAUUAAAAUAUAUAAUUUGUUAGGUGUAAAUACAUCCUUAAAUGUUAUAUUUUUUUACGAAUUUUUCCUUAAAUUUGUAUAGAUUUAAAAAUAUUUGAUGUUAUAAGUUAAUAAAAGAAAAUGGUUGAAAAAUGGAAGAAUGUCCACGUGUAAAACAUAAGUAAAGAUCUCGACCGUGUAAUGUUUUAAGGAAUGCAAUCGAAAUAUUUUAUCUUUCAAAUAAAAUAAUACAAAAAGUAAAAAAGAUAUAUAUAUAAUAUAUAUAUAUAUAUAUAUAUUAAUAAUAACAUUAACAUAAUAUGUUUAAGAGAAGUGGAAGCAUAUAAUAUGUUAUCAUUCUUAUCCUCUUUUCUCUUUAUGCUUUACUCUGUUUUGGAAUUUUGGUCCACUAAAGAUAAGUGAAUGCUUCUUUCUUUCUUUUUCUUUUGAAAUAUUGAGAGAAAGAAAUGGUUGAUCAAAAUAUUAUAAUAAAUAAGUAAAAUACAACAUUUUGUUUUAUAUAUGCACGUUAUAUAUUUCACUAGGUUUGGAAAAUGAUGCGAUAUAUGUAACUCUAGAAUAUCAAACGUGGAGGAAUUUUAUUUGCUUAUUUGAUAAAGUUCUUUUAAGUUGAAAAGUUCACGUUAGUUUGUAAUUAAAACUUAAAACAUCGUAGUAAAGAUGAGAAUUAUCUUAACACAUGCAAUGUAGUGCAUCGUUUCUCAUCCAAACUUCAUUGUAUUGUUUGUUCUUCGUACUUCAUAUUGCAAGUGUAUUUUUAAGGUUUUUUUUUUCGUAAAUUGAUAAUACAAUUGCAUCAUACAAUUAAGCUAAGUUUGUUUGUUCUUUUAAGCAAAUUAAAAAUUAACAUGGUGUGUCUCGUACUGUUUUAAUUUUAGUUAUACUUGUUAAUUGAACAUUAUUAGACAAUUUAAUUCAAUAGUUGAUUUGUUAUAGGAUACCUUAUUUAAAUUAUAUAUUUAUUAUUUUGUUGAACGAUGAAUCGAAGACUAAUAUAAUACAUAUGUGAUUAUGUAUUUUUUUUCAAAAUGUGAAUAUAUUGCUAUAUUUAUUUGUUAUAAUAAAUCUAUUUACAUUCGAAUAAAAAUAACUAGUGAAUUUUGUAUCUUUUCAUUUAAUUUGUCUUCUAUAUCUCACAACAAUUGUCAUGCAUGGCAUGAGUUGGUCCCACGAAAUUAAAACAGUGAAUUGAUUGAGCAAAAUAACUAAGUUGGAUUUUGAUGGUUAUUAAGCAACGAUAAAUCACACAAUAAAUUAGAUAUUCGACGUGCUCUUAAGAGCAAUAUAGAAAGUAGAUAGUUAUUACAAGAAUAAACGAUGAAAUCACGUCAACAAAGUAAAAAGAAAAAGAAAAAACAACACAAUAAUGUUGAAAUUUUUGUUUAAUCAUAUUUUAUACUUUAUCAUGUCAAAAAUUAAUUAUGUACUCUCCAUCAACAAUCUUAAAACAAAGUCUUUAGUUUUGUAUAAAAAAAAAUUGAUUAAUAAAAACAAUUAAAUAUGGUAUAAAGUAAUUUAUAUAAUAAACCUUUACACAAUUUAAAAUUAAUAAUAAUGCAGUAAAUCGUGAUGUUAUUAGUAAAGGAAUGGACAAAAAAUCGCACGCAUGUGUCACGUGAUUAAUUAUUAAAUAGUAAAAUUAAACAUACCAAAUCACAUAAUGAUUUUAAGGUUGGAAAAUGAAUAUAUUUAACCAUAAAGUGUAGUUAGGUGAUGUUAUUAUUUUGGAAUUUAAAUGGGACAUGUAGUGCCUUUCCUUAAACUAGAAACCAUGACCAAAAAAAUUACUGAGGACGCAAAAAACUAUGCUAUAAAAUAAAAAGCAACGUCUGAAUUGAAGUUCUAAUGUCCUUCCCCCAUCAACAACAACCAUUAAUAGCUCCACCCCAACUCAACACCAAAAUCCUUUUCCAAGUUUAAUCCUUAGAUCUACUCAUCCAUUCUUUGUUAUACUAAACCUUUUUCACUGUUACAUCAAUUUUUUCAAAAGGUUCUAGAGUCAUCAUAUGACGUUGAAUUUUAUUUUUUUUCCGCUAUCUUCUUUAUCAAGUUUGAAAGGUGGUUCGAUUUUUCAUUUGGUUUAUAUAUCUAGAUAUCAAAUUGAACCAAGGAGAUUUGUUGUAUAUAAAAGAAACCACGUCGAUGUACAUAACAAAAUAAAAAAUCAACUUUUAUUCGAUUCAAUCGACUUUUUUCUUUUGAAAAAUUAAAAAAAUAGCAAAUUUUACAAAAUAUUUACAACUUAUAGUAAAUUUUGUAAAUUCUAGUGAUAGUCACCAACCAAUAGAAUCCAAAUUUUUGUUAUAACUUAUAAAAUAUUUUAGUUUAUUUUGUUAUUUUUAAAAAUUGUAUUCUUUUUAUUUAUCAAAAAGGAAAUAUAUGACUUUUUAGACUAUAUAUAUAAUAAUAACAAAAAAAGAGGGAGAAAUAAGAGAAAUAUGUAAUAAACUAUUUUUGUCUUCUUCCCAUUUAGCUUGCUAGUGCAUGUAACCUAUAUUCUAAGAAAUAAAGGGAAAAUAAUUAUAUUGGGGACUUUUGAAUGGAGAUAGCUAUCUGUUUACAUUAAUUUCAACAUUUACAAGUAAAGCCAUAAACAAUUAAUAUUGAUGAAUUUAUAUGUGAAAAAGCUACCAUAUAUAUUAAAUAUAUAGUUUAAAUUAUGCUAUAUAUUUAUGUUUCUUGAAAUGGAAAACAUGUUAGGAUGGUUACGUUAUUCAUUUUUAACUUUCCUCCUUGAUUUAUGGUUGCAAAAUUCAUAAUAUAACUUUUAAUAAGUUGACUAUAAAAAUCAUUAGAUGUUAUUCGAAUAAUAUCGGUUAAAUUAGAAUAAUAUAACACAUUAAAAAUAUUUGGACACACCAUAAGAUGCCCAAAUUAAAUGUUUAACUAAUACAAAUUAUCUUUUUAUUGUUUGACAACUUAAUUUAAUUUAAAGAGGAAAUUUCUAAUAUAAUAGUUUCAAAAUUGUUGACCACCUAGGCCGCUACUAAGAAUCGUGUGGAAUCUAUAAUUUAUUAAUUAUAAUAAUUAAUGGAAAUGGUAGGUAAUAUAAACUUCUACUAGUAUCUCUUAAAGUUUAAAUUUACUAUAAAGAAAAUUAGAAUUUGAGUGGAAAUUAAAUGGUCUUGAAUUUGGAAAGGUAAUUAAUUCACCUAAAUGGAUAAACAUCUAUAAUUUUUCUUUUUCUUUUCCUUCCAACUCGUAGGCACCUUACUAUGAUGCUAUAUCGAAACUAUACUAAAAUUAGAUGUACUUAUAAAUAUUUUCUAAUAUGCUCUCACUGAUUCCAUGUGAACCCCAAAAGGAAAAAAAAACGUUAAACUUAACCAAAAAAUCAAAAGUAAUUAAGUAAAAUCUCAUCGUCAAUUAAUUUCAAGUUUGGUAUCAUGGUCGAUAUCAGACCAUGUUGAAAAUUUCACACAUUGAACAAACUAAGAAAACUCACACUAAUACACAAUAUAAACCUUGAAUGAAACAAUAAGUAGAUAAAUAUCUCGUUACUCGAACAAAUCAUAAAUAGAAGAUGUGAAAGGGAAUUGAAUGGGAGGGAGGGAGUGAGUGAGAGAUGUUUUUAAAAAGGAAGAAAUAUUUUUGGGAAAAUGAGAGAGGGGGAGAAAGCAAUUAAAAGCAUGGGGGGGACAAUUAAUGACAUUAAUUGAGAGUAGAGGCAUAAAGGUAUAGAAGGAAAGGGGGAUUGGAAAGAAGAAGAAGAAGAAAUGCAAUAAUAGCCAAUGGCAAGCAUGUGAGUGUCCUUAACAAAAGCAUUGAAAAUUGAUUGCCCAAAUGAAAUAGUUUUACUUCUGAUUUGGCGCUCUUUUUGCUGCGGCUAUCGCGUUCACAUGUGCUUCUUCCCCCCUCCCCUCGCCCCCAUAUGUUGCUUACCACUGCCCUAACUUCAAUCCUCCACCGACACAUUUCAAGCCCUUUUUCUUUCCUCUUUUCAAAUAUCAUCCCUACCUCAUCUUUCUUUAUUAUAACAAAUUAUUCUAAACUCUAAUUCAAUAUUUAUAAAAUGUAAUAAAAUUUUAGAUUUUGUAGUGAUAAACGUUUAUGAAAGACUGUUACCGGCUUGAUGAUUUUUGUUAUAUUUGAAAAUACUCAACUUAAUAUCGCUUUUCUUUUAAUAUUUGAGGUUGAAUGUAUGUUAAUUAAUUCGUUUUUCGUUAAUUCUUAGACACUAACGUUAAACAACAAUUAGAGCUAGUAUAUAUUUAGUACCAACUACAAUUGAAAAAAAGUAUAAUAUAUUGAAAUUUUUUAUAAUAAUAAUAAUAAUUUAUAAUUUGUUUUCAAAUCCGAAUAAUUAAUAGACUAAAGUGACCAUUAAUUAUCAAAUAUUGGUUUGGGAAUCAAAACAGAGAGACGUAGAUUAGAUCACAAGUGUGGAUAGUGGAUAAAUAAAUUAGAAGGAUAGAAUAUUCAAUUCAUUCAAACCAGAAACAUUUGAAUAUGGUUCAUUAAUUACUCAUUAUAUUUUAUCUUCGUGAAAUUUAAAUUAACUAGUAUUUAACCAUUUUUCAGUAAAGAUUUGAUCGAAUCUUGAAUAUUUUGGUUCUCAACACAUACAAGUACCAAUUGAAUUUAAUUUUUAUGAAUGAUUCACCAAUAUUACGUUGAAAAAAGCGUUUAAAUUUGUUUCUUUUAAAUAUUGCAAAAAUAAAUUCAAACCAUAUACACUCCCUGUCCUCAAGUAUUUUUUAUAAACCAUAUUAUAUAUAUUAUUAUGUAUUUGUGUAAUGUGUCGAAUAAAUAGUUGGAUGAAUUUUUGCUAUAUUUAUAAUAUAUGGUUUGAAUGUUUGAUAUUAAUGGGUAUUUGAUGCAUAACCAAUCAUUAAAUAAGAAAGAAGAAAAAGGGAAAAAAAGGGGUUCUGCCCAUAAUAAAAUACGUGCCGACAAUUCAAUUCACACUCACCUCUCUAAGCUUCAGAAUAAUUAUUAAAUGGUGGGCUAAUGAUAAAUAGAAAAUAGUAAAACUAUCAAAUUUUUUUUUUUAAUUUCUAUCUCAUGCAUUAAACUAUGUAACAUUAUUAGUCCUAUAGUAACACCUCAACCAAAGCUUAUGAUAUUUAUUUUGACAUUACAUUGAUAUAUUUGAUAAGGUCUCUUAAUCAAGGAUUCUUGAAUGUUAGCUUUUAAUAUGUAUUUGCUUGCAGUGGAUUUUUUAAAUACUUUGUUGUUGUUGUUUUUUUUUUAUAUAAUUAAUAUUUGACUAAAUUGAAAAAGAACACUCAAGUAUUAGUAUAAGUUGAACAAAUUCCUAUUUGUUUUGAUUUAUUAGAAAAAACUAUGGGCCUGGCUGUAGCUCAAUCGUACUUAGAUUACGGGCCGUUCUAUAAGGCACGGUUGGCAGAGCGUAGGCCCAAUACUUGGUGCUUAUUGCUCUGCCUCUGCUUUGCGAAUUGUUUUUGUGAUCCAAAAUACAUCUUAAUUUCUAAACUUGAGGUGCCGAUAGAUAAGUAAUAUGUGACUACUGAUAUUCGACGUAGAGAAAAGUAGUUAUUGACUUACGAAUAAACGUUAGGAAAACAAAGAGUAAAAUCAAAACAAACAUUAUCAAGAAAUGAAAAGAAAAAGUUUGUAUCAAGUGUGUAUCGUGAGUCACUUUUGUAAUGUAAGUUGGCAACAUAGAUUAACAUUAACAUAGAUGAUUCGUACUAAAUUUUGUAGUACUCGAUAGUCAAACUACAAAAUCUAAAAGUGUUUUUUCUUUGAUUAAAUUUUCUAGAUGAUUGGAAGUAAGUUUUAUUCAAACGAGGCAAGAGCAAUAAUAUUACGAAACAUCGAUUUAGUGUUUGUCAAGUCAGUUUUGCAAAGUUUAUCACUACAAAUUGAGUAAAUAUAAUAGAGUCACGUUUUGAAGGCCAUAUGUUAUAUGAGUUAUUUCAAUUGAAUAUACGAAACAACCAAACUCGUAAAAUUGUAAUUUAUUUACACUUUGUAACGUGGAGGAAAGAAAACCUGGAAAAAAGAAUCUAAUGCCAAGUCAACGAUGAGAUGAAAAAUAAGUCAUAAGUUGUUAGAUACAUCAGGUAAAAGUAUCAUAAUAACUUUACUAUUUUCUCAUGGAGGAAGGAUAAGAUAAAUUCUUCCUAUUUCUAAUAAGUUAGGGUAAGAUUUUAUUUUAUAUUUUAUUGACUCGUGACUUAUUCGAUAACGUUAAAUUUUAUCUCGAACGCAUGCAAAAGUUAUAUAUGGUAUGGGAAUAUUAUUUUUAAAAAAAUGUAUAAAUUAGAACCGUAAAAUUGUAUACAUAAAUAUGAAAAGGGAAAAUAAAUGAUUAAAGAAAUAAGUGAAGUAAAUAUUUGAAGCUAAAAAAAUAUUAAGAUUAAGUUAGAAGGAAAAAAUAUCGGAAGAGGAGAGAGACAUAGAGGGCGCCAGCGGGAUGAUGCUAUAAAUAUAAAUUCCCUACGCCAAAGGCGUGGUCAUUUAUUGAAAGGAAACCCAUCCUCUUUCUUGCCGUCCUCCGCUUUUCUCUUCUUUUAGGGUUUCUCUCUCAAACUCUUAACAAUGGCUGACGAAGCUCAGUAUUCAUCUGCUACUGAUACUCCUUCCAACAAGCGCAAGUACGAUGACCAACCUCCACCCCGCCGUCCAACUGGCUUUUCCGGUCCCAUCACUUCCCCUUCAUCCGAUUCCGCUCCCUCCUACAACAACGUCCCUCCCCCUAUGGAUGAGAUCCAGCUCGCUAAGCAGCGUGCUCAGGAGAUUGCCUCUCGCUUGAUUAUCUCCAGCGGUGGCGUUGGGGCUGGUGCUGGACCUGGCGUUGGAGCAGAUGUCAAACGUCCGAGGGUUGAAAACGGCGGCGGGUAUGACUCCUACGACAAGGGUUUUAGUUCUGGUCCAGGUGAUUAUUGUUUUGAUUUUUUUUAUCUUUGUUUGAAUAUUUCAUGGUCUUGCGUGUUUGUCGAAGGUGUAUUGAUUUUCUCACGACUCAGUGAGCUUAAAGUGAGUCAGGUCUUGUAUAUGGGAAGAAAAUAAGUGGGAACACUCGGAGAAAAUCUUGUGGAGUGCUAGUUAUAUAUUUCUUGUUCACAGGGAGUGGGUUGUGUACAAAAAGGUCCAGUGUUCGUGAUUUUCUAGAAGUGGCGUGCACUUUCUUUUAUUGCAUUUGGAGUAGAGCAUACGUAGGGGGAUGAAAUGAAGGUUUCUGGAUUUCAGUUUAGUGGUUUAGAUAGAGCUCUCUCAGUUAUCAGAAUGCCUAUGUUCCAUGUUCUUUUACCCUCGUUUCCUGUAAUAAUAACUUUAAAAUGUGCUGGUGAUGUAUUACGGUUUAAAAGCAAGAAUUGUGUACAUGUUUGGAUGCUCAUUGGUGAUCUUGAUUUGUGUGGAUGCAGACCUGAAGCCUCACAUGUCAAAUUCAGCCCCUUCAGCGAUACCUAUUUCCUAUGGUUUCCAAGGGUCAAGCAAGAAAAUUGAAAUUCCAAAUGGGAGAGUAGGCGUAAUUAUUGGUAAAGGUGGUGAGACGAUCAAGUACCUUCAGCUCCAGUCUGGGGCAAAAAUACAAGUUACUCGUGACAUGGACGCAGAUCCCAACUCUACUACUCGGAUGGUUGAGCUAAUGGGCACCCCUGAUCAAAUUGCCAAGGCUGAGCAGCUGAUAAAUGAUGUUCUUUCUGAGGUUGGUCUUUUCUUAAUUUUGGAAUUUCAUGGUGUGCCUUUGGGAGCGGCAUCAAUAUAAGUUUGUGGUUUCCUGUUAUAACGUUGACAUGCCAUGUAGCAAUACAUUGGUUUGGAUGGAUAAUGGAUUGACUACAGCCUUACCAAGUUUACAACUUUGAACUUUAUUUAUGGGCAAUAUGUUAUUCAUACGUCCGAUGCAAAAUAUGAUUGUAGUUGAAGAUAAGACUUUUUACUUGGCUUGAAAAUGUGUUUGUCUCAUAAAAUUUAUCAUUUGAAACAGGCUGAAUCUGGCGGUUCUGGCAUAGUAUCACGAAGACUAACAGGCCCUUCAGGAUCUGAGCAGUUUGUUAUGAAAAUUCCUAAUAAUAAGGUUCUCAGAAACAUUUGUUUUGGAAUUACCAAGUAUUGCUUGUCUAUCUUGGGAAUGUAAUUCUGUUCACUUUUUGUACUUCUGAUCGUGAAAAUAUUAAUUUUUCUAGGUUGGCUUGGUUAUUGGUAAAGGUGGUGAAACAAUCAAAAGUAUGCAAGCUAGGACUGGAGCACGUAUCCAGGUCUGUUCUAUCUUUAUGUGUAUAUAUGUAUAUAUUACAUACGUCUUUUAGAAGGCUUCCCAAAGCUAACUUCCGUUCCUUUUUAUUUCAAUAGUGCAACUAAUUUUCACUUUCUUUGGUCAUGUAACAUAGAACAUUGUUUUGAAUUUUGAUUGUAUGGCAAUAUCUACUCUUCUUUUCUGUAGGUGAUACCAUUGCACUUACCCCCUGGGGACACAUCUACAGAAAGAACCUUACAGAUUGAUGGUUCAAGUGAACAGAUUGAGUCAGCAAAACAGUUGGUUAAUGAAGUUAUCAGCGAGGUGCGUUUGCAGAUCUGGGUUACAUAUUUAUUUUGCCUUGUUGUAGUUGGAAUUAAUACCUGGUUAACACCUACUUCCAUUUAUUUUUGUGUUUAUAAUGAUUUUUCCUGCUUGUCUUUGGUUAUUUUUUAUACAACUGUUGAUGCAACUGUUCCAUCUUAUUCUGAAACUCCUUUAGUUCUAUUCUCACAAAAAAAAACUCCAGUUUUAUUAAUUUUAGGGUUCUACCUCAACGCCAAGGUCAGCAUUAAACCAGUGGUGUUGAUUGGACGUUGGCAUAUUUGCUUUCCUUACCUUGUAGUUUACAUUAUGCUGUGAUAUGGGAGGCAUCUGGUAUUCAUUGGCUUAAAUUAUACCUCCAGUUUUAUUUAGAAAAUGAUAUCUGCUUCUUGUUCUUGUUCUUUUUUUUUUUUGGUAUUAUGUUUCUCUUUCAAAUUAUGUUUUCUUACACAGGCUUGUUACCUUGUUUUAUUUGUUAUAAUUUUGUAAAAUCAUUCUACAACAUUAUGCUGCUUUUUAUUUCUGGGAGGAAAUAGUUGAGAAAAAAUUCCCGUUUUUAUGUGGUUCUGUCGGACAACUGACUCAACAAGAAAUUGAUUUAUUUUUUUCCUUCACUAAUGGUACUUCUUGGCUCUUCUUAAUUUUACUCUACUAGUGUAAUGGAUCUUCUACAAUUUCUGGCUUAAACACUAUACAAUAUGCUCAGCAUAUGGUGUUCUUGUUCCUUUAACGAACUAUUAAUCUGCUGCUGUGUCUGCAAAUCUGCAAAAUCAUUUAUUGCUAAUGCUAAUGCACUCAUGCUCUGCUAAUAUGCAUUAGCAUUUUGACUACAGUAGGAAGGCUUGUUCUCUCACUGUGCUCAUACUUUCGUCUUUGAGGGGGGCUCCCUUCGUAGGUCUAUGGAAUCAAAUGCUGCUUUGUGGUUUCACUCAAGGAAUUAGAAACAUUGGAAUAUUUCAGCCUGUUAUACUUUUAGAUCUCUUAUAGAUUGAGACAGCUUUUAGGUCUUUUACCCCUAAUCGAUCUGGAUUUGUUAUUAUAUCUGCAAUUGUUUAUUCUAUAUAUCCACUAAUGCAGAGAUGGAGGACAUAAGGUUCUGGGAUUGGAAAGAGGUGAAAUUAUUUUACAGAUUACUGCUUGGUAAUUUUUUGAAGAGUGAUUAUUGUAUCAGAAAGGUUCCCAUUGGUGAUUUGCUGGCUCCUUUGGAUAUUUCAGUUUAUCAGUCAAAUAUUACUCUUAUUAGGUUGUUUAGGUUAUAUGAUAUCUCUCCUAUUUAAGAUGUUAUCAGCCCAUUUGGUAUUAUUCUUGGUUUUAUAUCUAAGUGUUAUAUUAUUGGGAUUAUGGCCUGUUCAACCGUCACAUGUGCUUAUUAAUUAUGUAUCCUGCAACUGAUAUUGUUAUUGGGAACUAUUGUAGGGUUAGGGUUAUUGGACCAUUAGUGACACCAACAUGGAAUCCUUUAUGUUGGUGUUCUCUCAACGUUGCUCUGGUAUGGUUCUGAAUCCCAUAUUAUAAUGAUAUAAAGUGAUGAUGUGGAGAGAAGUUGCAGGUUUAUCUGUUGGAUAUUCAAGGUCUUUAGUAAAAUUUGAAAAGUCACCUUACCAUUCUAUCAUUCUUUUUCUGGUGGUUUACUUUGAUUUGGGAGAGUUUCAUCUUUUAGUCUAUAAAUUAUUCAUUUCUUAAUUGUCUAUUUACUGUGCGUACCAUUUGUGAAAUUAUUUUAGUUUAAUAUAGGCAUGCGGGUUAAUUUGUUGGAUAACUGUACUAUGAUGUAUUUUUGGUACUAUCAUAUUUUAGUGGCAACAUCACCUGAUCGUUCAGUGAGUCCGCCUUUGAUGGAUAUUCCAGAAAGUCCUUUAGACUCCUGUUUUGGUUUAAUUAGUUAUUAUUAUAUGUUUUCCACCAAAAAGAUGAAUUCUCUAAUUAUUAAUUUUUUUACUUAAAUUGACCUUAACAUUGUUCUUGUAAUUGAAGAAUAUUUUCUUGUUUCAAUCUUUAUGGGCUAUCUUUAGUUACUUUGGAGAUUAUGGAUCGUUUCUUACAAAGGUCUGUAUAUGUCAGUGUCUUCUUUUUCAUCGUCCAAAUUGCUUUUCAGCUUUUUUGGAAGUAUUUUUCUUUACAAUAAUUUGCAAUCAAAAUUCUUUUGACUAUAAAAUAUUUUUCACUUCAUAUUCUAUUGGUGUCUGAAGAUAGUGUAUGGGGUUGUUUAGUUUUAGCUUGAUAUCCAACUAAUUGAUUAUUCUAUAGAAGAUUUAAUAAUUGGGGAAGACAUUGCUUUUGUUGUGCUUUGCUAUGAACUUCUUUGCCUUUUGGGGCAAUUAAGUUCAUAUAUUCUGUUCUGUAAAAGCUUUUGUAGUCGUCUGGUUCUCUUUGCACCCAUUCACUUCGAAUAGGGAGAGGUUGAGCUUCUGCUGGAGUAACUCAAUAACUCAUCAUCCAGUACGGUAUGUUGGUGUUUUAUACUCUUCCUAAUGCAGUAUAAGCUCCUUUAAUCCCUCUACAAAACAUACUGACUAUGGUUUUCUUUUUGCAUAUCCUUGAUUUCAGAUUUGGCAUUUUCUUUCCAUUUCGCAUAAUGCAUAUGAAUGUUGUGCUUUCCUCUUCUUACCAUCCCCUACGUUGGUUUCUUACGUUAAUUGAGAAGGAUUCACCUUUGUUUUCAUUUUUAUGUUUAAUCUCUCAGAAUCGCGCGAGAAAUUCAGGUAUGUCAGGCGGGUAUAAUCAGCAAGGUUAUCAAGCUCGACCCCCUUCAAGUUGGGGUCCUCCUGGGGCUCCACCAAUGCAGCAGCCUAAUUAUGGCUAUGGACAACAAGGCGGAUAUUCUGCUCCUUCGUCUCAGUAUAACAUAUCACAACCUCCUUAUCAGGGUUAUUCCCAACCAGCAUCUGGUGGAUAUGCUUCCAAUUGGGACCAGUCUACUGUUCCGCCAAAUCAACCUGCUACUCAAGGAAGUGGUUAUGAUUACUACGGUCAACAGGCUCCACAGCAACAACAGACAGCUGGAGGCCCUGGUGCUACCGGAGACAACAGUGGUUAUAGUUAUGGUCAACCACCAGCCACUACUUAUAAUCAACAGGGUUAUUCUCAAGAUGGCUAUGGUGGUAAUUACCAUGCACCUCAGUCUGGUUAUGGCCAACCGCCAACAUAUGAUCAACAGGGUUAUAGUUCUACCACAAACUAUGGUAAUGUGGCUAACGCCACUCAAGAUGGGCUCAAUUCGUAUGGCUCUCAAGGGGACUCAUCACAGACGGUCCCUCCUGCUGCACCACAGCCCUCUUCAGUGAGUCAGCAAGGUUAUAGUGCAAAUCAACAGCCUAGCCCUAACCCAGGGAGUUACCCUCCACCAAGUCAGUCGGGGUAUGGAAUGACUGCACCUUCCCAAACUGGCUAUGGAAAUCAACCUGCUGCUCAGGCUGCUUAUGGGGCUGCUUAUGGAGCUCCUCAGACUCAGAAACAACCUCCUACUAAUCCUCCAGCCUAUGGUCAAAGCACUCAGUCACCAAGCACCGCUAGUGGCUAUGGGCAACCUGCUGGAUUGCCAUCUGGAUACUCAAGUACGCAGCCACCCGCAUCCGGGUACACUCAACCAGAUUCUGCUUCUCAACGUGCUCCACCAUCCAGUUACGGCACUGCUGCAGCUCAGCCAGGGUUUGCGCCACCUCCAUAUGGUGGUGCUCCUCCAACAAAUCAGUCAGCUUACGGGCAAGCUCCACCACCUUAUGGUGGCUCUUAUGGUGCUGGUUACCCUCAGCCCCAUUAUUCAUCUGAAGGUAAUGCAGGUGGUGCUACUCGUGGGGGCUAUGAUUCUGCAUCAGCUGCUCAGGCAGCGACCCAAAGUGGGGUUGCAAAAGCAUCACCAAAAAGUUGAUAAUAUUGUAUGUGUUUGCUUAGGUGUGUAUGUUGCGGAGAACGUAGCUUUGUUUUUGUGGUUUUUAUUAGACAGGUAGUUUUAUGAGACCUCAUUAAUGCCCGAAUUCUUUACUGUACUUUGUUUUGCUAUGGUUAAAAACGGUUCUGGAGUUUUGUCUCUCUUGAACAAAACACUCUUUCUCUACAGGCGGUGGCGUCUCCUUGAUGAUUUUGAUUUUUGAUUGUGGCGUUGGGGAUUAAGACUGUUUAGGAUUAUUGUAACUUUAAGCUACGGAAAUGGUAAAAUAGCAUUUAUUAAAUAAAAUGUUAGAUAUGAAAAAUUCUUAUUUCAAAUGUUUAUAUGAACUUAUAGCAAAAUAAUACAAAUACAUCUUUUAACAGAUCUACUUAUUCAAAAAAUUAUUAUAAUACUUUUUUCUAUUAAAAUUUAUGCGUUGUAAAAUAUUGAUGUGUGAUAUAUUGUUAUAGUAAAGCUGAAUCCUUUACUUCCAUGUGUGAUACAUUGUUAUAGUGAAUAUAAAUACAGAAGUACACUUGGAAAAACGGAAAAAUGUGUAUGGCAGGUGAACUUCUAUUUCUUUUCUCAGGUAAAUAUAAGUCUAACCCAAAAAAAUUCGGAUCUCUCCCCGCUGUAUCCUAGAUUCUUGUAUAGUUUAAAAGAAAUUAUUCCUAAAAGCCAUGAAUGCUUUGGGUGAAAGUAACAAGAUGAACGCAAGGACCGAACCAAAUAACAAUUUGAUAGCAUAUAGGAAGGGAUCGUGGUCAUCUGCAUCUGUUGAACUUGUGUGGGGUGCCAAUGCCGUUGCGGAUGGAAGGGCUUCAAUUACUGCAUCAGCCAAAUCUGAAAUGAAUGAAGAAUUGCAAUUGAGGGCAGGCACACGGCCCCAGUUUUGGAUUCCAGAUUCAAGUGCCAAGUGCUUAUACUCCAUAUCUAUCUCCUCGAGAGUCUCAAUGUGCUCACUCACAAAGCUGGGAAGAGACAAGUAAAACUAUUAUAAACAAAACGCCACCAGUGCAUAAGAAUAUCCAACUUCACUUAACACGCUUCACCUUCUCCAAGUCUUUCAAAACAAGUAAAACAAAUUGUAAACACGAUCAAACAGCAUACUGCUUAUAACCAGUUGAUUGUUUUAAAGCAAAAAACAGUUGCCUUUUUUAAUUUUGAAGAAAAACCACGUAAACAGCCAAUCUUUUGUGAUGAAGUUCAAAGUUGAGGAACGACCAAGAAAGCCCAAAAUUAUUCAAAGCACUUUGGGCCUAAGGUUCUCCAUCAUUAACACUAGCACAAGGAGUUCGAAAUAUAUAAUUGUCACGUGAAUUAACUUCAUUAAUAUUCACUCUAAGAUCAUAUGAGAACCAAGAUGAGAAGGAUCCCCUGGAAUUAUGAAGCUACAAGGAACCAAAAACCAAACAAUCAAAUUAACAGUUCGUCCUUUUAUGGUUUAUGAACAAGCCAUACCUCACGGGAACGGCUAGGAGACUCUUAAUACCCUUCUGGCCAAGCUCAACAAGAACUUCAUCUGUGUAUGGCUUAAGCCAUUGUACAGGUCCAACACGGCUCUGAAAAAUGUAAUACAUAACAAGAAUAAAAAACCACACGGAUGUAGUUAGGAAAACAAUGAAAUAAAAUGAUAGAAAAUCUGAAUAGUUGUUGGGGCUCAAAAUGUUAAAGAAAAAGAUAGGAAACCAUGCCAAGCUUCAAAUUUAUUACUAACCUGGUAUGCAAGAGUAUGCUCAUUCCCAAUUCCUCUGGCUUUCAGCUCUUGCAUGAUUAGGCAGAUGCACUCUUCCAUUUGAUCUUUGUAUGGAUCUCCAGCAUUCUCAACAUAACUGACGGGAACCCCAUGUGCACUAAAGAAAAUCAUGACCUAAGGUGCAAAUAAGUGAUGCUAUAUUAAGAACUAAUUGACUUGGACAUCCAUUGCUGCAUAAAAAUAAAGCAUCUCUCUAAAAUAAGUUUCAGCAAAAAUUAAGUACCUCUUGAGGAUUGGCAAAAUUCUUCAGCUCUGCCUGCAUCAAGUCAGCCAUUGACUUAAUAUACCCUUCCCGCUGGUACCAGGACUUUAUAAUUGAAACAGGCAACGAUGAGAGAUAUGCAUCUUCCCUGAUAGACAACUCAUAGUCAAUAAGUUAAGUUGGUAGCAGUAAUUUUUUUAAUAAUAACAAUAAAAUCAAAAUAUUAUAAUACUAGACACGAUCAUCACCUGAACAUCUUCUGGAGAACACGAAUACUAGACCCAGUUGUAGAAAUAGAGUACUGUGGAUACAAUGGCAGCACCACAAGUCUUGUUAUCCCAUCCCUCUUAAUCUGCCACACACAGCAAAAGGAACUACCAAUUUUAAACUUCAUUUCAAACAAUGCUUCAAACAAAAACGUGAGGUUACAGGCAUAUUAGGAAAUCCCGUGGUUGGUAGUAAUAUAAAAUUCUUCCCUCCAUUCGAAUUACAAGGCAAGGGGAAUAGAUAAAACAUAGAGCGUACUUGCUGAAUUGCUUCCUCUGUGAAAGGGUACCAAUAGCGCAUUCCCACAUAGACAUUAGUAGACAUGUUUUUCUCCUCCAAAGCCAUUUUAAGCGCUUGUGCCUGCAACAAGUAUUCACAAAUUAUCAAUAUUGAACAUUUGUUUUAUACCCAACUGGGAUAUGCCAUGAUGAACAAUUUGAAGGAAAUAAGAGAGGUCAAUCAACCUGUUCAUCUGUGAUUUUACGCAAAGGUGAGCCACCUCCUAUUGAAGCAUACCCUUCUUUGCUUUUGGGAGCACGGUAUGUAGAUAUUAAUUUUGCCAAUGGCUCUUGGAGGAAACGGAACAACCUUGGGAGUCGGAUAAUAUCCUAUGCAUCAUGAAAAGAAGUAAGAAAAAAGAGCUAUUGGCAUGUUAAUUUGUUGUUAAGACUAGUUGCAUUAAUUAACUAAGAUACCGGAUCUGCAAAUAGAUUGUACAGAAAUGGUUGGACAUCAUCAAGCGUUUCCGGCCCUCCAAGAUUCAAGAGCAGAACUCCCACCUUGUCAUCCACUGCCUGAGAUUGAGAUUCUAAAGCAAAUUCACCAACGGUGAAAGUUCCUACUGAGCAACAUGCUUGCCCCAGACGGCUUUUCUUCUCAAUGGGGCCAGAAAGAUGUAACCCCUGAAUUACAUCUCUGUCACCAUUGGAGCUAGAACAAGAAACCACUAAUCCUGUAGACCUAUCACGAACUUGCAGAUUUCCAGACGUUUUGCAAGAGAAAGUCACGCGAGAUUUCGGCAAAGAGCAUAACCUGAAAACAGGAAAAUAUACAUUGAAUUCCUAACUUCGACAAUAUAACACCUAAACCCCCCCUUAAAAUAUCAGUCACUGCCAUGACAUCCUCCAUACAAUAAAAUAACUAAGAAACUUCCUUCACAUCAACUCCAGCUACUAGAAUCCACGAUCACAUAACUUCACAUUGAUCGAACUAAAAGGACUGAUUCCAAGUAUACGACACGGGGUAACUUCAUCCAAUAAUCAACAUAGAGUUCAAAUGGGGGCGAAAUUUUAAAAGGGUACAAACGAUAUAAACCAAAAUCCAGAUUCCAAAGCAAGAAGAAAAGGUCGGUUAAGAAUUAACCGAUAAGGAACAUGAAGAAGAAGUGAUAUAAAAGAGAACUUACGAUGAAAUUCUUUGAUCCGAAUUGAGGGUAUUGGUGGAACCGUGAAGCUUGAUAUUGGAGAGGGCGAGAGAGGAAGAGGCGGCGUCCAUGGAGUCGAAAAUUGGAAGAACAACGAUCUAAAUCCAAAACCCGAGAAGAAAUUGAGUACAGAUAUGAGUGAGGAAGAAUGGGAUUGGUCGAUUAUAAAAAUUGGAGAAAUGGGAAACGUGGAAUCGGAAGGAGGAAGAACGGUAGAGAAGUCAAAGUUGGGGGAGGGAAGGAUCCGGGAAAUGGAAGCGCCAACCACUCUCCCAAGUCUCACCAUUAUAUAUUCAAAGUUUGUUUCGUGUUGAAGACUCAACGCAUCUACGUGUGGGCCGUACUCCUAACUUUCUUUAAUUUCUAAUUUUCAUCCAUAUAAUUAUAUAUAAAAAAAGUUAAAAUUUAAUUUCCAUAUUUAAAAGUUAGGAUUAAAAUAGAACAUAUUUAGUCAAAUUAAUAACUCGAGUUCCUCUUAAAUAUGUUCUUCGAUAUUUUUACAAAUCUCAUCUAAGUUCGAUGGUACUUAACUUAUUAAGUAGGAGUAAAAAUUGCUUAUUAAUGCUACAUAUCGCUACUAAAAAUUUAUCGAUAUCUAAAGUAACUAAUAAUUUUUGUUGAUUUGCAAUUUUUAAAAAUAUUGCUCAGCCCUACUUACCUAAAUUUUAAUUUUCUAAAAAAGAAUUAUUCGAUUUUUUUGGUAUUUACACGUGUAUUAUGUAGGUAGUGCAAAAACUUCAACAAAAUUGGUCUAAAUUUGUAUCAAAGAAAUUUAGGCAUUUUUGGUACUCACUACAUAAUACAUUUGUUCUGAGUGGUUGUUUGAUCCUUAUCUAAAUUACGAAAAAAAUAAAAAGAAUAAAUUGAAAUAAUAAAUAAGUUUCCUAAAAUUAACUAAAUUCCUUCUUUUCACCUUUGUAAAAGGUCAAACGUGGAAUGAAAUAUUAUUCAUUAUGAUCCAAAGAAAGAAGUAAAGGUGUCUAGUGAUAUCUUAUAACAUAGAUCACCAUUGAUAGCAAUUGUUUAUAAGAAGAGUCCAACAUCAUUCUUUCCAAAGAAAAUUCUCAUCCUAUGUUGAAAAUAGAUUAUCGUUCUAGAUAUGAAAAAUGAUCUGUCAACAAAGGUAAUCCAUAUUCUAUAUGAAAUUUUAUUUUGUCUUUUACCAGAUGGGUUAAAAGAUUUUUUUUUCUUCAAUAAAUACACAAGCAACCAUUAGAAUUCACAUCAUUUUACCAAGUUGAUUAAAUCUACACUUCAAUCCUUCUAAAUUUUCAUGGGAUGGAAAUUAAACGAGGGGCGGAGGCGAGGGAAUCAUCCCAUCUUGGUCAAAUUCCAAAUAUACCAAACCUAAAAAUGACCAAACUUCAACUUCAUUUGGGAAAAAAGGGGGAAAACAUAUUAUUUCCAAAUAUAGAGAAAACAAAAAUGGCUGAUGAUACUAGAAAUCAUUGAUUAUAGUGUAAAUUUGAUUGGUUGGAGCAUUAAGCAGAUGUGAAACUUGUCUCAACAGUCCGAACACUACUUGGUCAAAUUCCAAAUUUCCAAUCAACAUCAAAGUCCCAUUCUUUCCAAGAAACUAAUGAGAUUCUCCACUUACUAGACAAAAAGAAGGGUAGGAAGGAAAUGCAUGUAAAUGUAACUCAAAAUAGUUAAAAGUGUUAGGAUCCAGUAGAGAUUAUACAGACGAAAUAUUUUAGAGAAAGAAGGAUACUGAGUAUAUCUUCAUUCGACAUUUGAAAAUCCGGCACCACCUUCCGCUCGAGUCCUGUCCAUGGGCACAAGCUUAGUCAUUUAGGGGACUGAUAGGGUACAAAAGAAAGAUGAGAACAAAGAUAAUAAAGAGCAAGAAAGUCAAAGUGAGCUAGCUCGAUGGUAAGUGAAGUGUGCUAGCUCGAUAGUAAUUGAAAUAUACUCAUUUCUCUUUAGGUUAGAGGUUCGAAUUUUCACAACCCCAUAUUUUAUACUAAUGAGCAUACGGAACUUUCAUCGACUUUUUGAAAAAGAUAAACACCGGAACAAGCAAUGGAUAAGAAACUGUUAAUAGCUCAAUCAAGGGGCAUCCUCAAAUAAGUUGAGUAGACGGAUGUGAUCAAAACACAAGGACAAUAAUUUGAAAGAAAAUAAUUAUAAACAAAAAAGAUGGAUAAGGAGAAUGUAUAGCUAUAACGUAUGCAGUGUCUUCUACCGUGGAGAUUGAACUGAGUGAAAGACACUUCAGAUUAAUGCCUUCUUGGAGCCAAAGAACAAGUAAAAUAUUAUCAAUACCAUCCAUCAAUGGAAAUAGCACUUACUUGUGGUCAGAAGGAUUUGGUGUGAUUUCGUAGACAAUUGUUGCAACAACAUCUCUCUUUAGCUGUUGAUUAAAAUGAAGAUAUUUAGUUAUUUAAAUCAACAAAAUCAUCAACUGAUUCUUGCCCACAACUUUACCUGCGUGGCUUCACCUUUCAACCCAAUGUAGUGUAUCUGAGUCGUGUCACCACCAUAAUUAUCAGGAAAAUGCAAAGUGAUGUUUCCCACACCUUGAAAUUUGGAAUAUCUGAUUAUGUAUAUAAAUUAGCUGUCAAAAAAUAGUUGUAAUCUAACAUUGAAAGAAUUCACAGGCUCGAUAAUUAUAAGGGGAAAGAAAAUGCUCAAUUUUUUUGCUAUCAAUUCAAACAUUUUCAGAUGAUCUGAAAGAUAUGUUCCUCUAUAAAACAUCCUUACCUUGUUUGGUACUCUAAUACUCCUUGCAAAUUCUCAGCCAAAUCCCACUCCUAGAAUAAUAAAAAAUGCGUUACAGUUACAACAUAUGGUUAGGCGUCAAAAUUUCUCCAUGAAUCUCCGCCAGACAUGCUAACAGGUAGUACCUGAACAGCUUGCAUACUUUGAGCAUCUGAGAAGUCAAUACCUUCUCGAUUGAUAAACCUGAUUAUGAAGGAUAACUUGCGUAUAAGAACUAACGCAGGGAGAGAACUAGAAGGGAUAAAACUUAAUAUUCACAUAGAAAACCAAGUGUGUGAAAGUUCCAGAACAUCGAACUUACACCCUCAUCUUUGAAGGACUAGUACCAUCUGGACCACCAAUGAUAGAUAUGCUUUUGAUCUUAACAUCUGAUGUAAAUCUAAUCAUAAAAAAAGUGGUAAUGAAUUUUUAAGAAACAGGGAGAGUGCCAGAACACAAAAAGCGCACACCACAUAUAAGCAAUGUAGCCAUCGCUGCAAAACAAAGAUACAGGCACAGAAAUCUUCAUGACAUAAUAUAAAUUUUAUUAUCAGAUAACUAAAAUUGUUCUUGUGAUAUCUGCUUUCGAAGUUUCAGACCAGCCGACAAACACAUAGAUUCUUAGACAAACAGUUUUCUCUUGGUAGGAACACGAAAUUGCGUUUAGGAAGGGUAUGAAUUUACUAGGUGAAAUGGCUGAGCACCUAUGGGAAUUAUUUAGGAAGGCUAGAAGAAUAAAAAAAAAGGGGGGAAGUCGUGAUAAUUUAUGUCUUCACAAAAUUAUUUAUUUCCAUAUUCGCCCUGAGAUAUAUAAAAGGGAUGGUUGAGAAACUAUAAAUUUUAUUACAUUAAAAUGUAAAUUACGAAUAACCAUUACAAUAACUGUACUUAUUAACGAGUACAUAUCAAUGUUAUUAAGGUAUCAGGUAUAGUUAGAAUCCAAAAGUACAGGAACACCUACGGGAUGAAAACUAGCAGUUCAGGAUCACCCUCGUUGCUUUCCAAGUGAUCCUGUUGUAUAAAAACGAAAUAUAUGAGGCUACUUUAUCCUAGCAAUCGGGUACAUGGCACUGAUACACGCAGAUAUAAAGGUAAGGUACCCCAGAUGAGUUUAACCGAUGCUCCCAAGCUUUAAAUACUGACUUCACACUUCCUGGAGUUGCCUCAUUCAAAGCUGAAACCUAAAAAAAUAGCAGAACCUGUGAUCAUAAAUAAAAUUUCCACCAGUUCCUUUGAGGGAAAAAAAAUUAUAAUACGUGUGGGUUCGACAUGCAAUCUACAAUAAGAGUUCAAGGCUCUUCCAUAAAAGUUACUCAUAAGAUUCAAUUGAUUCCGUCCACAAUUAUCAACUUGCAUGAAACAUGCUAUUGACGGAAGGGGCAAUUGUCAUCCUUGUGUGAUUUUAAGAGUAAUGCAUUCAAAGAAUUUCUCCAAUCUUAAAGAUGAAAAAACUCAACAUCAUUAAUACUUCCACAUAUUCACUCAUAAUCUAACCUCUCCGAUUUCUUCUAGCCUUAAAAUAAACAGGAAGAUUUAUCAGUUUCAUCAAUACUUCGCCCACAGUAUUCAUUCCAACGUCAGCAGACAAUUACUUGUGCCUUAAAAGUUAUGGGGAAAAAUCCGUCAGCAUUGCUAACAUCUACUCAUAAUUGUUCCAGUUAUUGAACAACUCCAAUAAGCUUGCAAGACAAGAUGGCAAUGGAAAAUAAUAUAUUUCUAACAAAGUUAUCAAAUCCCCUUAAUAGUAACCAUUGAUGUUCUUGCUAUGCGUGCUAUGUUUAUCUCUCGUAUAACUCAAAUAUGAAUAAAAUAGUGGAAAUAUUAGCACAAUCCUCUUCCAAUUUCUUCCCAAAUGGCUAGGCUGUAAACCCAACUUGGAAAAAGGUAAUGUAAUUAAGAUGUAACAAAAAACAACAAAAGAAGAGAACCAGAGAUGGAAACAAGAGAACAAUAUUGCACGGACGAUCAGCUACAGUUGAGUUUUGUGUUCAUUUGAAGUGAAAACUAAAAAAAUUAACCACUAAUGCACUAGCUUCUAUCACUAACCAUGAAAUUCUCCAACAUCAUUCCCACUAAGCCAUUAGGCCAGUUCCCUCCAAUUUAGGAGGCACUACCUAAAUUAAACCCAUCAACAUAAAUUAAAACUAAUUACAAAUUAAGUUGCACUAAUUCUUAACCUAAGAAAAACCCAAUUUGCAUGUGAGGAACCAUAACCAACGGCAGGAACAAAGAUUCAGCUCAUUCAUGAGAUCAUGGGCAAUUGCAAUUCACAUAAUAUUUUCCAAGCAGUGUAAUUGGGAAGGAAACUAAAAAAUUAUCAUUCAGCUAAUGGGUAUGGAGAUAAUUAAAAUCCAAAGCCUGGACAAUCAAAUUUCAUAUUGAACGAUGGAAAAUGAUUAUACGAAUAUGUUUGAAGUGAUACGAAGUCGUAAAACGGAUUGUCAAAGAAGAAAAUUCGUGUGCUAGAGGUAGAUACAGAUAUGCACUAACUCUGGGGAGGUCUAUGUGCUUGUAAAGAGACCAAUCAGAAGAACAAUCGUGAUCUUCGCAGCUGUGAUCGUGUAAGCAAGCCAUCUUUGAGGUUCCAGAACAAUAGGCAGAACGAAGAGAGAUUUCAGAGGUAAAAGAGAAAGUGCGAGAUGCUCAAAACGGCGCCGCUUCUGUACGUGAAGGAUUGUUUUCGCUUUGAUAUAAAGCCAUUACAAGAAAACAUCAAUUACAUUUUGUUUGUUUUUUAAUAGCCGUGACUAAAAUAAAUCAAGAGAUUAUAAUAAAUGAAAUUAUCAAGAUCAAGAUGAUAUUUUCUAAUGGAACAAAAAAAGAAAGAAAAAACGAAAAGUUGUAUCCUUAAUUAUACUAAAAAGGAAUAAUAAUAAUCCAUCAACACGUUAUUUGGUAGCCUUCAACAUAAUUAGUGUUUGCAUUCAAAAUGUGGAAUAGAAAUAGGAUCAUGAAACGUCGAAACAAUGAAAAAUUAGAGUUGAGGAUCAUGAAACGUCGAAACGAUGAAAAAUUAGAGUUGAGUUGAGAACCGUGGAAAUGAAAUCAGUUUUAGUAUUACAAAUUCAAUCCAAAACCAAAACAUCCAAUCCAAACUCAUUCCACGACGAGUCUCCAAACCACUGUAAUCGUAUAGGAUGUGUGUUAAAGGAACAAAUUUAGGGUUACUUUGUUUAUAUAUUUUUUUGAAAAAAAAUACUAUUUACAAAUAGAUUAUUACAAAGAUCAACUUGGAUGAGCACCUUCAAUGAACAACUUUGAGAAUUAUUUUAGUAACCAACUUCAAAAAACGACAUACGAUGCCGAAUUUUGACAAUGACCUUUUAUGAUAAUCAAUUUUGAUGGUUACUUCAUGCCACUAACCCUAGUGAAAAGUAUUUUUAUACUCUCCAAUACAAACAAUUACAAUUCAUACUAUUUUAAUUAAUCUACACUCUAAAUAUACAUUUCAUAACAUAGAUUCUAUUUCACAUAUUACAAUAACCAACUCGAAGUCACAAAGAAUCUCGUCUACAAAUCAAUCUCGAGUAGAUAUGAUUUUCCUUUUCUUCUCCGUCGUGUGAACACUAUGUGCCCCAAACAACCCUACUAUGUUGGAUUUCUUAAUUAACAAGGGAACUCAUUUUUGUCCCAUGUGUUCAAUGACGGACGUUAAAUGUACUUUUCAUUUAAACUAAGCAAAGGGAGAGAGAGGAAAAAAAGUUAAGGCUUCACCAAAAAAAUUUAAUUAUUGUUUAGAUGAUUUGAUCAUCAACUUAAUUGACUAAUAAUUUGUAACAAAUAUAUUGCUUAUUUAAAGCUUGAUUUCAAAAUUACUCAAUAAACAAACAGUACAAUCAAUCACAAAAAUUCAACCCUAAAAUGCAUCAAUCGUACAAAGUUUAGUAAUAAACAUUAAUUGAUAGAAAGUAUUCUAUUAUGAUAGUUUUGAGGCACAUAUUUUAGGUUGGAAGAAGCACAAUUCAUAGAUAUAUAAUAACUUUAAAUUGGUCCAUACAAUAUUUUAAUUAAGUGAUAUUGUUUUAGUUAAAUUAAAUUUCAAUCCGUGUAUGAAUUUACUUGAUCUCGAACUUAAAAAAUCUUUUUUGAAAUGUUUACUUGACAUUUCAAUUUGUAUUCAACAAUCUUUAGUUAAUUUAAUUGAUGUUUUUAAACGUUAGAGACUUAUAAUACACAAUAUUAAAAAUUUAUUAGACACAAGUUUUAAUUUUAUAUCUUAAUUGUUCAAUUAACGGUUAAAAGUUACUAUAUGUUAUAAAUUAAUGAACCUAUUAAACACAAAUUUUAAAAUCUUUAUAAAACGGAAUCUCUAUUUCUAAUACAAAAAUAGUUAUGGAUCAUGACAAUAUGUUUGCUACUAAGUAUGCUUAAAAAAUAAUAAGAACAUAUUAACUAACUAGUUAAAAACCAACACUAUUUUUAUAAGUUGUAGGUUGAAAAUUUAAUUCCUACCUUUACUAAAAAAAAUUAGAGUAUUGUUGAGAUGAAAAAAAAAAAAAAAAACCAUAUGCAUAUGGUAAAUUAAAAAGAUAUUUAUUGAUUGAAUUAUGGUAUAUAUCUGAUCUUAUAAGUAAAGUAUAUGAGAAUGGACAUAUUAUAUCAUAAUUUAUCCGUUCUAACUAGAAGACAAUUCAAGUACUUUGGUCAAAGACUCAAAGGUUAAUUAUGAAUGGAUUAUUUAUUAUAUAACUUAUCAUCCACAAAUUAUUUCACUUUUAAUGCAAUAUCCCUUUCUAUGAUAUUUUCUAAAGAAAAAAAGCAAUCACAUUCUCUGCCCUCUUUUAUCUUCUCUUUCUUUCUAAUAAUUAUCUGAUUCGUAUAACUAAAAGUUUAUUUUUCAUUCUAUUUAUAAGUUUUGCGAGUGCACGUUUGAGUUAAUAAAUUAAUCUUGAAAAGCAAUUGACAUGUACGAUUUAGUAUCGACGUCGAACUAAAUUUUACUUUCAAAACAGUGGUUCGAAACGAUACAACAUGAUCAACAAUUAUUUUGUCUACUACUACUAUAUUGUUUCAUUUUACUAGAAUUAUAAAAUAUAGCUAAAGUUAACAUUUAUUAAUUAGUUCUUAAUUUAAAUUUAUUUAUACUUUAUUAUUUAAAUAUACUUGCGUAAGAUUAUAUACCGUCACUGUAGGCAACGUAAUGAAAAACAUUUUGGUUAAUAUUUGAAUAUAGAUCUAUUCAAGAGCUUUCUCUUAAUGUAAGUGAUGAAUUUCUCUUGUUUAACCACGAACAUGAUUUUAACUAUUUUUUUUAAAAGGUCGGUCUUCCGUCUUUAAAUAAAACCAAUUUAAAAAUCACCUCCAUUCUUUAUUUGGAGAGUUUAUGAUUGAUCUCUUCCCAAACCACUGAUUAGGGUAAAUUUUAGAAAUAUAUUUUAAUAUCAUAACAAAUAUUAAUUAAGCCAAUAAUAAAGAUUUGAUUGAUAACAGUUUUACUAAAGUUGAAGAAACUAAAAAAGAAUGAAAAUGAUAUUUUAGUAUUAAAAAGGAUUGAAGAAAAAAGAUGAGAAAUGGACGGAUAAUAAGAUUCCACACCCAACCGCGAAGGAAUCUCGCCUAAUAUUGAUAUUUGCUAUUUAGUGGGUCAUAGCUUUCCCUAUCAACUUCAACUUGCAAUGUAUUAAAGUUGAAAAAAUGACCGCAACUAUUAUCAUUACACGUGUAAGGUCAGGAUUCAUCACCAGGGGCAACUAAGUCUUUUACAAAAACCCGCAAGAAAAUUUCCAAUUUUCUUUUUUAUAUAUAUUAAGUGAAUUUGUAAUCAUCGUUCUAUACCCACCGUGUAGCCCAAGUUUCCCGGCAACUUCAUGGCUCGAAUCCCCACCGGAGUUUUACUCUCUCUUCUAUUCCUUGCCGUAAUCGGUCUACCUGCCGGAGCCCGGGACCUUCCCGGUGAUUUUCUCCGGUUGCCGUCCGAGGCACUGAAAUUUUUUCGCGGAGGAGCUUCCGACGCUAGCGACGAAGACUCCGUGGGGACGAGAUGGGCUGUUUUGAUCGCUGGUUCUAAUGGAUACUGGAAUUACAGGCAUCAGGUUUUUUUUUCUACGAUUGAUAAGUUGCACUGACUUUAAUUCAUUUGAUAAGUUUGUGUUGUGUUAUGAUGUUGACCUUUGUGAUUGAUUGGCGUUUUCGUGUUCGUAUUUCAUACUUUUUACCCAAAAUGUCUGUUGUGCAUUAUAUCUGUUGCUGAUACUUGUCUGAUCCAUUUUCUCACUGCUUUUUAUUUUUAACCUAAACUUUAUCAUCGGUGAUUCUUCUUGGCGUGAGAUCGAUUUUUUUUUUUUUUUCCAGUUAAACUAAGUCUGCAUUCUUUUGAUCUUUACUCUUCGUCGUCUGCUUUUUUGAUCGAUUGACUUUUUUCUGUUUUUCGAUUAAGAAAUUGUAGUAGUUCUGUUCUUAUCCGUUUCAUUUUUUUCAAUACAUAUGUUCUUAGUUUAUUUUAAAAGAAAAAAAAUAAUUAAGCCUUCAAAUUAAUUAAAUAUUUGUUGCUGUUAAUAAUUCUUAAAAAUUGAGCUGAAAUUCUCGAAGAACAUGGUUUUUUCAACGCCCUUCCAUUUGUCGUUGCUACCAUGUGAUCGAUAUAACUUUUCGAUUUUGCUCCAAAAUAACCACGUUACCUGUAGCUACUCUCAAACAAAGUUUCCUUGUUUAUAAUUGUCAUGUUGAACGAGUAACUGAGCGUUUAAGGCCUAACUGCAAAAGUUUAUUUGAAGGCACUUUUGAAAAGUUUUAUUUCUUGUGUUUGUAGUGACUUUUUUUUUAUUUUAACAAGUAACAGUUAUUUUCAGUGCUCUAUUUGGGUUGCAAAAUCUCAACUCCAUACUAGCCAUAGUUUAAAUUUCUUGGUACUAAACUGGAGUAAUCUUUUAUACUUCCUAUGUAUAAUAUAUAUGUAUAUAUAUAUUCAUGAAUAUCUGGGCUAGCUGAGGCACACAUGAGCAUUUGGGUGUCAAGGAAACAGGCAGGAUAUUAAAUUCUACGUAGGUGGUCACCAUGAAUUGAAUCCAUAACCUCUCAACCAUUUUUCAAGGUCAAUAUAACCAUUUAUUAUCUUAAUAAAAAAGAGUUUGUGACUCCUCUAUGGAAAGUAAAAAAGAGCUAUAAACACAACCAGUAAUUAAAGUUACAAAUCAAAGGAGAGAAUGGAGAUAUAAUUAAGAAUUAAUAUAAAUUUGUUGAACAAGCGUAAGUCAACAGAGUCUAGGUGCUACUAUUCUGCUCUCAACCUUGUUUUAUUAUGUGAGUGUCGUAGAUGGUUUAAUUGAUUAAAAAGGCUUAGAGAAUGCUGAACUCAUUUUCCACCAGGCUGAUAUCUGCCAUGCUUAUCAAUUGUUGCGGAAAAAUGGGCUAAAAGAUGAGAACAUCAUAGUCUUCAUGUACGAUGACAUUGCCUUCAAUCCAGAGAACCCAAGACCUGGUGUCAUCAUCAACCAUCCAAAGGGUUCUGAUGUUUAUCAUGGAGUCCCGAAGGUUUUCUUUUUCUCGUUGCCCUAUCGAUUCUAAUUUUACGCCUGAUUCAUCUGAUGGUAGCUACUUAUGCACUCUACGUUUUGGCCAUGGCAGGAUUACACUGGUGAAGAUGUUACCGUGAACAACUUUUUUGCUGCCAUUCUUGGAAACAAAACUGCUCUUACAGGGGGUAGUGGGAAGGUUGUUGACAGUGGCCCUAAUGAUCAUAUUUUCAUAUACUACAGUGAUCAUGGUGGUCCUGGUGUGCUUGGUGAGUGGCUUGUUCUGUGUAGUUCGCAUACUAUUUGAGGUGACCUAUCAUGCUUAUCUGGCACCAUCUCUUUGGAUAUGUUUGUUGCUCGAUGUGCUUGAUUUAUAUCUGUAAACAAUAGCACGAUUAGUUUACAUUUCCAUAUUAUCUUUUAAAGGCAGCCAACCAACCAAAAUUCAAUCUUAAAAAGCGUGCUUUGAUUUGAAACUGAUAGUACAGCCUCAUUUACCUAGGAAACACUUAUUGGUAUCAUUAUUGUAAAAACAUUAAUCGAAGAUAAACUUGUGUUAGAUUUCUCUAACUAGUUUGUUACUUGAUGGAUAAGAAAUUUCUCAUCUCUGAUAUAUCUUGUUCAGGGAUGCCUACCUAUCCUUAUAUGUAUGCUGACGAUCUUAACAAAGUUCUAAAGAAGAAGCAUGCUGCUGGAUCCUACAAAAGUUUGGUAUAUUAUUGUACUGUUCAUUGCUUGAGACUGCAUCUGUCCUUAUAAUGUAACCAUAUAUAAUGAGAGUGGAACUGUUUGUAAUAUUUUAGGUAUUCUAUCUCGAAGCUUGUGAAUCAGGAAGUAUCUUUGAAGGUCUUCUUCCUGAAGGUUUGAACAUUUAUACAACGACUGCAUCAAAUGCUUAUGAAAGCAGUUGGGGUACUUAUUGUCCAGGGGAUUAUCCUAGUCCUCCACCAGAGUAUGAUACUUGCUUGGGUGACUUGUACAGUGUUGCUUGGUUGGAAGACAGGUAAAAAGAUAAUAGUAGGCUUGUUCUAUUGUUUUUAUACUUUGUUAUUUUGUUAUUUUGUUGUUUUUGUUUUUGUUUUUUGCUUGGUGUUUUAAUUUAUCAGUAAAAGAAAAUGAUAUCAAUGCCGAAAUCCAAAAGGUAAUGUUUUUUGAUGUUGUGCAACUUUGAUUUUGGGCAUUUGUUCUGAUUUCCAUGUUCUCAUCGUUAUAUGUACUGCCGCACCAUACUUCUGGUGUCUAGUGUUCUGUCAAGCCGAAGAAUGAGUCUCACAAAAUUAUUAGAUCCAAAAGCAGAUUAUUACCUUUUAAAUAAGGGAUCCAAACGCAAAUGACGUGAGUUAAAAUAAUGAGGAAGUGGUUUAUUUUAUUCAGAACCUCAAGAUUUUUACUUUCGUGCUGUAACAGUGAUAAUCACAAUUUGAAGACAGAAAGUUUACGCCAGCAAUACGAACUGGUAAGAAUACGUGGACCUCCGUUUUAGGAGAAAUCAACUUCCCAAGUUUAAAUUUGGUUCUUAAAAAUGAAAAAUUUUCUACCAGAUUUUUUCAUCCUUUUGUAAUUGUACUAAAUGUACCAAGUCUAAAGGACAUUUUAGUGUGUUUAUCAAAAUGAAAAAAAAUCCCAUUAUGCUCGUUUGAUCUGAUUUGAACUGUUGGUUUCUUCAGGUGAAAAAAAGGACGCUAAGUGGCCAAUAUGCCUAUGGUUCCCAUGUCAUGCAAUACGGUGAUCUAAUGCUCAACAAGAACGCUUUGUUCUCAUAUCUGGGUACUGAUCCUGCUAAUGAGAACAACACUUUUGUCGAGGAAAACUCCUUGAGGCCAGCUACAAAGUUCACCAAUCAGCGUGACGCUGAUCUGGUCCACUUUUGGGAGAAGGUUAGUUUCUUCUUUUUCUAUUUUCAAAUGGAUAAUAUAUGAACCCUGCUUGGUAUACUAGUAUAUAGUAAAUAAGUGAUAUUUUGAGGUUCGCCAAAUUGAUAAUAUUUCCUGUUUUAGAUAGUGAGAACAAAGCAUUCUUGUGCGUUAGAUCCAAUUUUUGAGACUUUUGUGGCAAUUUUUUAAAUACUACACUUGUCACCUCUCUAAUGUAGGGAUUGUAGUAUUUACUUGUUAAUCUUGGGUUUUUUCUUGCUUAAAAUUAAUUUUGGUUUCGACAUCAUUCAAGACCCUCUCACCCCAUCCGUGCUUGUUGAUCUUAGUUUCGCAAAGCUCCAGAAGGCUCCCUGACGAAAGUCGAAGCUCAGAAGAAGUUCGUGGAAGCAAUGUCCCAUAGAGCUCAUAUCGAUAACAGUGUGAAGCUAGUUGGAAAGCUGUUGUUUGGAAUUAAAGAAGGUCCUGAGGUGCUUGAAGCCAUCCGUCCCGCAGGAAGACCCCUUGUUGAUGACUGGAACUGUCUUAGGAAUAUGGUAUAAUUUCAAUAUAAUUGGAUACUGCACAGCCCAUUUCAGUCAACCAGUCAAAUGAUGUUUAGUUAUAUUUUUACUCAGUAUAAAAGUUAGUUAAUUCUGAAAUGAUUCAAUACAAACAGGUUAGGAGCUUUGAGGCACGUUGUGGAUCUCUGUCUCAGUACGGAAUGAAACACAUGAGAUCCUUUGCAAACCUAUGCAAUGCUGGAAUCAGCAAGGAGCAGAUGGCGGAGGCAUCGGCGCAAGCUUGCAUGAGUGUCCCUCCGGGCCCUUGGAGCUCUCUACUCAAGGGCUUCACUGCAUGAUGACGAAACCCAAGUCAGUCAUCGGAUUUGGAAGUACGUUUCUCCCACCAUUGUUUAUAUCACAUCUAUGUUCAAAUGGGUCUGUCGACGACAAGUCAUUUGUAAAUAGAACCACAGGCCAUUGUGUUAGGUGAGAAAAAAGGGGCAUAUAAUUGAAAUGUUGAACUGAAGAAAUACGCAUCUGUUUAUAAGAAGAAGGCUCUGGUUGUGUUGGCAAGAACGAUCAAAAUUCCAAAUGUAUUGAUUGUAUGUAGUAGAAUUAUGGUGUGCUUUUUACAUUGAAUGACAAUAUAUUUUCACAUGAAUACAAAAUUCCAACCUCCAAAAGAAGAAAAGUGAGAAAACAAAAAUGCAUGAUUGAAAUAUUGGUGAGAAAAGGCAUAAGAGGUGGGCUAUACUUAUAGAUGGGAUAUGGGUGAGAAGGGUAGGCUCCACUCCUUUCCUCCUUCACUUGUUUAAACUUUCGUCAAUUUUAAAAGUAGAAUGGGGAGUUUGUGGGUUGUGGUAGUUGAAAAUGGUUAGAUGUUUUGGUAUAGAAUUUAGUGGGGGAAGAGAUAAAUCCACAUAUUGGGAUUAUUGGGAUACUGUUUGUGUGUGUGUGUGUGUGUGUGUGCCCCCAUUCUCCACCUCCCUGGAUCCACAUUCUUCUAUUAUUCCCACUUUUGCACGCUUUGUUUCUUUCCUUUUAUUAUUUUAAUACCAUCUAAUUUCAUGUUCUUUAACUUUAUUGUUUUAAUACCAUCAAUUUAUAUUGUAAAAAAAAAAAAAAAAAGAGUUCCUUUUGCAUCUUAUCUGAAUGUGAAUGUUGGUUUCUAUACUAUAUUUGUAAUUUUUUUAAGAUAUAAUGAAAAUAUGAUUCACUCUUUCAUCAUCUUAAUAUUGAGUUUAGUUAGAUAGAAUAUGUAACAUUUGUCAUCUUAGUAAUUCUUUUAAUCGUGGCUUUAAAUUUACUUUAUUAUUUUCUCGUUGUUUAGUAAAGGGAUGGAAUAUCAAUUAUUGAAACUCGAUUUGGUUGUUUUGUUUAAACCCCAAAUUAUGAAUCAGAAUUGGUUCCAUACAUAAUUCUCAAAAUCUCAUAAUUCUCCAAGAAAAUAAAGAUUUCAAAUGUAGUUUCUGGUCUAUAGAACUUUAAGUUUUUUUACUUUUAGGCUUCAAUAAUUUUUUUGUUUGUUAAAAUAGUAUUCUUUCAAUUUUUUAUUAUAUAUAUAUAUAGUUCCUAGUUGAAAGGAAAAGUUGAUUAAGAGGUAUAUGUGAUGAUUUAAUAAUUUAUUCGAAUGAUUGUGUUUGAAGAAAUUAAACUAGUUGCCAACUAUAUGAAUCAAAUGAUUUUGAAUUCAAAGGUAAUAGUUAGGGAAUUGGAUAUUUUUUUUUUUCUAGUGGAGCAUCUAAUGAUACCUUUUUCAAUAUCAUUAUUACGGAGAUGAAAAUAAAAAAUUGACUCUUGAAUUAGAAUUAUGUCAAUUACUAACAAGCUAAAUUCACCUUUUCAUUAAGAGUCAACGAGACGAAAACUAAUAUGGAUACAUACUUUUGUUUAAAUUCAACGAGUAUGAUUUGAUUAUUUUGUUUCUUUUAAAAUGAGUAUGAUCUUAAUAUUACAAAAUACAAAUGGAUGGACAAAAGUUUCUUAUUAAAAAAUCAACCCCACUACUGAACAAAGGCACCAAAAGAAAAAGAAAAAAAAAAGAAGAAAAUCUUCUUCAUAUGCUCUCUCAUUUGGAAAAACGAAAAGGAACAAAAGUCUUUUUAUCUUUUUCUUUUUUUCCUUCUUAAAAAGUAGAUAAAACUUCAAAUAUGGAAAAGGUAAAUUCACAUAAUGACUAAAAGCAUUUUUAUUUCAUAACCUUUAUUUAUACAUAAAUACGCAUGUGCCUUUAUUGGUAAUCUUUCUUUGUUUUUGUUUUUUAAUUGGUUUUUAAAAACUAAAGUGUAUUUGGUAACUAAUUCACUUUUUAUUUUUAUUUUUUAAAAAAAAACUUUUUUUAAAAUUAUAAAGAAAAAUUGAAAAUGAAAGGACAUCUUUAAAAUAACAACAUUAUCAAAUAUAUAUGGUUUUUAUCUUUAUAAAAAAUUAGAAAAUAGAAAAAUGAAAACAAAAAUAAAAAUUGAAAUGGUUAACUAAACCUGUUCUAGAAGUUUAAAAAUAUAAUGAUAAUUAUAAAUAUGUUUGGAGAUUUUUAAAAGAAGAAGAAGAAAAUUGACGAAUUAUUUACGUAAUCCACUAAAAGUCAAAAUUUAUACACUUAUUUCUCUACUAAUGAUAAAUAUUCUAUUUGUAUGGUUUUUCCCUUUUUUCUUUUUUUGGUAGAGUGGGGGCUCGAAAAUGAAGUUUAAAUAAAGUUAUGUGAUGAACUAACAAUAGGCUAAAAAGAUAAAAUCUUAUUAAAUUUACAUAAUGUUUUUUAAAAAAACGAACUCAUUUAUUAAAUUUGAGGGUACAAUGGUGAGUUUGAUGUGAUUUUUUAGAAGUUAGGGAAGGAGUGGAAAGUGAAAAUAAAUAUAAGCUUAUAAUUAUUAAUAAACAUGAGAAAAGUGCUUUGCAUUAUUAGGAAGUUUACAACAAACUCUAAUUUUUAAUUUAACUUGUUUGUUUCUAAUUAAUAUAAUAUCAACUUGUCAAUAUUUGAACUUUUAUAUAACAUUUCAGUCCUUACAUAUUCUUUUAUAACUUUUAUAUUCUCCAUUUAAAUCCUUUGACUAAUUAAAACUUUUAUUAUGUAUAAGGAAAAUUUUAAAAAAUAAAAUUUAUAAUUAUUAAGUAAGCAAGUGAAUGGUACGAAACAUGUAAGCCUCAAAGUUAUUAUUUCAAUUUUAUUUUAUCAUCUUUUAAAACACGUUCGAUGUUGAUGAUCUAAGCUUUUUACAGUUCUUGGUAUAUGAUUGCAUGUGUAAAGAGUUUAAACCUCGAGUAGGGAAGUAGUUAUACUUUCCUUGAGGUCUUCAAUCAUGACAAGAUUUUUAAUUUUUAAAUUUUUAGAAUUAAAGUUUUCAUAUAUAUAAAAUAAAUUUAUUAAGUAAUUUUGUAUGAUUGACUCAAACGAAUGGUGUCUCGUUUAUAUAAUAUUAGGAUUUGUGGUAAAUAAUUUAUGGGAUGGUUUUGGAGAUGAAAAAAAAGUAAAAGAAUAUGAAGAAAUAUAGAGUUGCAUUUAAUGAUUGUAUUGUGGUGUUUUGAAACAUCACGACUCUCUUCCACAAAACGUUUUCUAAAAUCACAAUGGAUAAAGUCAAAUUGUUGGUGAAGAAUCCUUUGUUUUUUCCAUUAAUAAUUGUAUCUAUCAAAUUUAAACUUUAUCCAUUUUUAUAUUUUACAAAAAUCUACCUACCAAUCAUAAAUAAAAUUAAUUUACAUAUUAAUCAUAAUUAACUAAAAAAUGCAAUAAUACAUUAGAACACUACCACUACAGGUUUUAACUAUGCCAAAUUAGUUUUAAAACUUUGAAAUAUAUGUAUAUACAUUAUAUGGUAAAGUAUUGAGGUAGAUUUGUUAGAAUAUUAAUAAAAUAAAGUAUCUAAGUUGAAAAGAAGGUGAAGGGGAGGAAGACAUGCAAGGUGAUUGGAUUACAAACUAAUUACAAACUAGAUUUGAGAAGAAUAGUUUGAAUUUUGGGUAGUAGAAAAGGGAGAAGGUAAGAAUGAAUGGUAGAAAUAAAUAUUUGGUUAAAGGAAACCCUAAUAUAAAUGUUUAUAAAAGAAUGAAUUGAAGGGGUCAUUGAUUGCAGUGAAAUGAAAGUAUUGAAAGUUCAAUAAUUUGGAGAGCCCCAUGGGACGUAUAAUCGGUUUGGGUAUUGACCGGAUACGACAUUACGAAAGCACUUUUAUUCAAAUGCUUUAACCAUGGUUAAUACUCCAAACUAACCAUAGUUAAGUACCCUUCCCGGUUCUAUCUAACCUCUAACCUCUAACCUCUAACCUCUAAGCUCCAAAGCUCUAAAGCUCCAUCACAUCGGCGGUUCCACACGAAAACAAAACUUAAAUAAUAAUAUAAAAGAAUAUUUUAUUUUAUUUUUGUUAGGAGAAUGAACGGACGUUAAAGAUUCCGUCAAAUUGGUUAACGCGGGGGGAUAAACGUAACGGUCGAUUGGAGAAGAGAGGAAGGAGCGGGACUCUCAGUGGACGGAAAAGCAGAUGAUGAAGCAGAGCCGGACGAUGGUUUGAUGGACGGUCAUAGAUGGAUAUUGCUGAACGGUUUAAGCGAUGUGGGACUUGGAAGAGCGUAUAAAAAUAGAGAGUUGAAAGGGUGAGAGGCCAUUUCGUUGUAUCAUUGAGGAAGGACCUCUCUGUACUACUUCUCUUUAAACUUCCCUUCUAACUCUUUCUCUCUCUCUCUCUUUCUCUUUCUCUUUCUCUUCUACAUAUUUAUAUUUCUUUCUCUUGAUGUCUCUGUAAUUAUUUCCUUCAUUUGAAGCUUUCAAAACCACCCAACAGCUUAAAAUUUUGAUAGUAUUACUGGGUUAAUCGAUCUAAGAUGGCUCGGGUCAUUGACGACUUUUAAGGCAUUGAAAUUGUUGUAAGAGAUGAGAUAAUCGACGGGGGGGAAUUUGAAUCUGGGGUCUGUUUUCUUGGCUGAUUCUGUAAUUGAUUUUUUUUUUUUUAAUAAAUUCGGAGUUGAAUUUUUGGAGAAGAGACUUUGAGUUUUGAAGGUUUGAUAAUUGAAAUCAAUUCACUGUUUAAGGUCUUUGUUGUUCUGGGUUUAGAUCUUAUCUUCUGAAAUUAGUUUCUAACUCUUGAAAUUUUCGUUGUGCAGAUAAAUACAGAGCGAUUUUAGUUGUUCGUUUGAGGGGUUUCUAAGAGAUUUGUUACCUUUUUUGAAAGUGGAAGAAGAAUUGGACUGAGAAAAAUGCAAGCGAUUAUCGGACUCUGGGAUUCGGAUUUACAUUUCGCUUGUUUUCUGCGGUGAAAUAAGCAGAUUUCUGUUCUUUGGAAGAGCUGAUUCUUGGGGGGGAGGGGGGCAAACCCAGAUCAGAAAUUUCAGGUACUGAUUGGUUAUCUUCUUGGUGUAUUUUGUAGGCUCUGUUCUUUCUGUUCUAAUUAUUUUCGUCCGAAAUUUCAGGUCUGAUUUUCUUCCUGUUCAUUGCUACCUUCAGCAUCCAAUAGCUAUCGCUUCCUCCUCUGUUCGAAUUCUUAGGGUCUGAUAAUAUGCUUUCAGAAUUUAAAAAUUCGAGUUGCUUCUUCCAUGGAAGGAUCUUCUAUCUCUCUGUGAGCCAUUGGGAAAUCUGGAUCCCCUGUUUCCAUGUGAAAUUCUUCUUGUUUCUUUGAGUUCCUCACAUUUUCAAGAUUUUCCCUCAAAUUUCCUCUUAAUUUCAGACCCAGCGUCUUCCCAAUACUUUUCUUCAGAAACCCAGACCAGUUCGGCUUUUCAAAUUUCGUGAAUUCCGUCUUCGGAUCAUCGAGAAAACCCCAUGUUCUGGUCUCUGACUGUUUGAUGUUCUCCUCGAGUAAAGUUUUUACAGUGUUGAUGGCGAAAACGUCAUAUUUCAGUGCUUGAAAUUUCUAAUCACCUUUGCUCUGUCCAUUUUUCUUCGUAACUUCGGGAUUUUCAUCCGAAUCCAAUUGACUGCAGAACCUGCUUUUUAUCCAUUUCCCCUUUCGUUUCUCUUUGCUACUUUAAUUGUAGAAUCUUCUGAGUAAUCUUUCUUCAGACUAACCCCCUUUUGAAAUGGGACAGGUAGUGUAUAUAUAAUUAAGCAUAUGGAGAAAGAAAAUCUCAGAAUCAAUAGCCAUGGCAAUUUCGUUAGUAAUAAUCUCAACGGGAGGGAUAGAACCAGCGUGGACAGCUCGCUGUUGUUGCGAGCGAGAUCCGAAGCCGCCGUUGUCGCCGUCGCAACGAGACCGCAGCCAACGCCGUCGGAAUUUGUGUUACAAUGGGGAAACCGGAAGCGUCUCCGGUGUAUGAAAGUUCCGGUUAAGGCCAAGGAUGUUUCCGCCGCAGCACCGGCUCACAGAACCACCGUCCGAGUGGACCGGCGAGUCGUUAGAGCCGAUAAAGACUCGAUUAUACAUAACCACCAACCAACUUCUAAUCAUAACCUUAAUCCGAGUAAUGGGUAUUUGAAUCUCCGUCAACGGCCGAUUUCUCCUCAACCGCCAGUUCUACCGCCGCCGCCAGCUCCAUCUCAGCGUAUUCUAAGGUACUCUCUGUUUCUCUCUCUUUUCUUCAACGCCAAUCUUUCGUAAUUUCUUUUUUAAUCUCUUUGAUCGUUCAAAUCUCAUCCGAUAUUUGAGAUUCCUUUUUCCCGGCUAUGGGAUUCAAAAUCCCGAUGUAUUCUUUUAAAUGGGCCUUUCUAUUUGGGCUUUUAUUUUAUUGGGCUUUUUAUUUGCUUGCUGUAACGCACUGCAUAUCUAAAUAUCUAAGAAACAUAUUAUCGCUAUUUAUAUACUCAUAUCAUAAUCAAUAUUUGACAACAUAGUCUAUGAUUAACACUUAUUGGCUACAUUAUUGUAAAAAAAAAUUCAAUAAUCUUUCUUUUUCAAACAAUAAAAAAAUAAUUGUAUAAAUGCAACUUGGUAUUGGAAUCUGAUGAAAUGAUGAACCAAACAUUGAAGGACGCAAUUUAGCCUCGUUGAUUAGGACACGUCUUCCAUUUCUUCCACGUGUCGUUUUCACUGUGGAAUAAUAGCCGUCGGAUCAUCAAUCGCAGUGACCACUGGUGUCCCCAGAGUGUCUCCAGAUCGGCUGCCCUGGAGCGGACACGUAAUCUCGAACUUGUAGAUCCAAAGGCUGAGGUUGGGGCGAGGUAGUCAUGAUUUGAAAAGACAGGUUUGUCCUUAAGAAAAAUCUAAGCCAUUGAAUGAAAGAAUAGAGACGAAGUCCCCCAUUUUGUACGCAAAUUCUAAGCCAGAUUUCCCCCAACGAACUCCAACAUCCUCCAAGGUCAUUCCCGUAAUUUCAGCCCACGAACGUAAAUAAAUUAAAUUUGCUUUUCUUCUUUUUUCCCUUUUUUUUUUUCUUCUUCUUUAAUGAGUAAUCUUUCAAUCUUUCGUGAGAUUUGUUCUUUAGGCCUUUUGUUUUGGUAAUCUAUGUGUGUAUGUCUUGUGGGGUUGGGAGUCUUUUUUUUAAAAAAAAGAACUUUUUGGUGAAACUAAGUAGUAAACAAACAGAGACUGAGUUUUUGUUUUUAAAAAAAUUUGAUUAGGAACUCUGAGAUUUCCGGUACGAUGAGAGCCCAAUCCAACGGCGGUGUCAGAGCAAUUACUUCUCCGGACAGGGCAGCGCCGGAGAAAAAACCACCACCGUCUCAUCACGACCACCACCAUAAAUCCGCCGCUACCUCAGACACAAAAAAAGGUGGGUCAUCUUCCGGCAGCGGAGAACCAACUGCACCGCCGCAAGCGCUGCCGGUUUGGCCACCGAAGUUCGUAAUAGCUUUAACGAACAAAGAGAAGGAAGAAGAUUUCAUGGCGAUCAAAGGGUCAAAACUGCCUCAGAGACCUAAAAAACGAGCAAAAAUUAUUCAACGCACCAUCAAUGUAAGCAAAACACCAAUCCCCCCGUCUUUACUUUUCCAGAUUCGUUCUCUACCUUUUCUUUUAUUGGUUUUAAUUACUUUUUCUUCCUUAGUUACGAACUGAUUCUCAUGCGCUAUAAUUAUUAAUUAUUAAUUAUUAAUUAUUAAUAUCAUUAUUACUUCUGCUUUAAUUAUUUAUUUGAACCCUAAUUUUCUUUUAAUUUUCACCGAAUAUUUAUUUCCUAGUAAUUAUUCAAUGAGAGCAUUAAUUGAAAAUAAAACGAAAAAGGGGGGUGUGGGGGUGAGAGAGAGAUAUUAAGGGGAGAGUUGUGGCAAUGGAAGGUUGAUGGAAUGCCACGUGGAGAGAUAUGGUUUGAGUGUUAUUUACCGGAAAUGAAGGCAUUGUGUGUGGGUGAAUGAAUGGUUUAACCAAUUACUAGUCGACAGAUAGACAAUCGCUGAGUUGUCCCAUCCUCGCCUUCAACAGUUGGGAGUCCUUUGGGUUUCUUUUUCUUUUAUCUAAAUAAUCAUGUUCACAUUCAACCUUACUUUUUGUAAUAAAUUCUUAAUUUCCCUCUUCCCUUUUACUUUUCUAUAAAUAAUAUUUGUAAAAGUAUAUUACAUUUUGUUCAGGAUUUAUUUAAUUUGUGUGUUGGUUUGGUGUUUGGUGUUUGGUGUUUGCUAUUUGGUGGUGGCAGCUGGUGAGUCCGGGGACGUGGCUAUGUGAUUUAACGUUGGAGAGAUACGAAGUAAGGGAGAAGAAAAUUUCUAAAAAGGUAUGUAUUUUUUUUCUUCUAUUUUUUGUGUUUAUUAAUUUGUGAAUUGUAAGAAUUGAUUCUUGUUAUUUGAAUGUGUUUGGGAUGCAGAGACCAAGAGGGCUUAAGGCAAUAGUGAACAUGGAGUCGGAGUCCGAGUGAGGAAAAGAGGAGAGUUUCUGAUCACAUACCAAAUUAAUUUAGAACCACUGUUUUGUUGUGAUUUUGUGGAGAGGAGGGGAAGAAGCUUUUAAUUAUGUGAAUUACAUAAAUAUAAAAUAUAUAUAUAUAUAUAUAAGUUGUAGAUUUUCUCUUGGCUAAUUGAUUUUAUUAGCAUAAUGAAAUUGUAAUUAUUCUAAUUUUUUAGUUCUAAGUUGAUCCUUUUGAUAACGGUUUUCAAGUAGAAAUUACCAAUUCUUAGAUUGAAAAUAGAAAUGAGGGUGGAAGCUACAUUUGUUUAUGGAUUAAAGAGCUUUUUCUUUUUUUCUUUUGUGUAAAGAUAUAUUGGCUUAUCAACUAACUUUUAGAAAAACAAAUCCUCCAAGAAUGAAAAAAACUCGGAUUAUCACUUUACUACAACUGCGUCAGUUGAUUCUCUAUCUUUUUUUUUUUCUUUCUCCUCAUCCUUCUUCACAUACUAAAUCAAAAGCCUAAUUUCCCGAAGUUCCCAACUUUAAUUUCCCACACUUUACACCCACCCCUUCCUCUCCUUCAAACUAUUUCUUUCUUCAACAUAUUUUUUCUUAAAAUUAACACAAAAAAAAAAAAAAGUUUCAUACAAUAACUUAUGAUAACAACUUACGUAAACAGUAGAAGGUAUUUCCUUUGGUUUGACAAAAUCAUAGAGAAUAAUGAAACUAUUAUUUUAUAAUGAAAUUCUUCAAAUGGUAGAGACUAAACUACAACUCUCUUUGAAUCAUAUUUAUUGUUAAUUAGCUAGUUUUAUGAUUUAUAAAUAUAUUACAAACACGUUAAACAAAUUUUAAAAUUAUAAUCUAAUUGAAUUUGUUUCCAAACACAUAUUUAAGAUAAAACAUAAAACAUGAAAUUAAGGAGAGGAAGAACUCUAUGUUACCAAAAUACUUUUCUUCUAACUUUUACAGAAAAAACAUUCUUAGAUUUAAACAUAAUUUUAAAUCUAUAAUGGCUGGAUUGCCAUGGUAUUAAAAAAUUAAAUGUAAAUCAUAAAAAGCUAAUAUUGCAAUAUUUAGAAUUGUAAAUUUCUUGAAACAAUCAAAUAAACUUCAUGUGAGUUCAAAAGGGUAUGCAAAAUAAAUUCUAUCGAGUAUAUAAAAUAAAAAGAAUGAAUAAAGAAAAGGAAAAAAGAACUCAAAAUGAAAAUAUAUUUGAGUUGAGCAUCACAAAGAUCACAAGUAGACUUUAUUAGUGGACAACAGAAAUCAACCAAUAUACCAUUUCAUUAAUAUAAAUAAUUCUCUAUAUGCUUUGGAUUCGUCCUUCUUAGAGAAGAAAAAAGAAAAGCAAAAAAGGCAACCAUGUUCUUGUCAUCAAUUCUCUAGCUGUAAAAAUUGCCAACCAUAAAAUUAUUGGCACCUUUCCCUUUCGGGUUUUCAUUAUUCAUUGCACAUGCCUCGCUGCCCCACAAAUUCUACUUCAAUUGGACUUCUGUUGGUCCAGAUUUCAAAUUAUUAAAUAUGCCUUACAAAUCUUGGAAUUCCACAAUUUAAUAAUCCUCAACUUAAUUCGGUAGUACACAAAAUGAUUUCUGAUGGGGUUUUUUUUUUCUCUCUCUCUCUCUCUCUUCAAGAAGAAAUUAAUCAAUCAAUUACAGUGAGAAUUACCAAAUUGUUUUGGCUAAGCGAAGAAUCUCAAAGAAAUUGUUGCAGUUAGAUAUAAUAAGCGAGUGUGUUCGUAUGAAUGAAUGCAUGAAAGAGUAAAGAAGAAGAGAGUAUUUAAAAAGAACGAAACAAUUUAUUUACUAAUCAUAACCAACAAAAUAUAGCACAAUCGUGAACAAACCAACACAACCUGCAUUCUAUAUAUAAGAAUGUGUAAACAAAAGAGGUCGUCUGUACCAAACGUGUAGAAAUUAAAGUCCCUUAGAAAAACAUCUAAAACAAAUUCCUCCGCGGCGCAAGGUUUUAGUUGAAGAGAGAAAAGAAAAAGAAAAAGGAAAAGCAGACCAUCACAAAUACAUGGAAGAGUCCAUGGCAAAAUCAAUCACCACAUCCGAAGGCCGGUAGCUCAGAUCCUGAGAGUAGAUCCGAAGGCGAGAGCAAGGAAAGCAGCAAGGCAAGCGGAGACGGCCGAAGGAGCAAUGGAGGUGGCAGGGGAGGCCGGACUGGGAGCCGGAGCCUCCUGAGCGGCGACGGAGGAAAGGGCGAAGAUGAGGGCAAUGAGAGCGAGGAGAGAAACUUUGGAGAGGGCGGCCAUUGGGUAAAAGAGGUAAUGGGGGCGGGGGGUUAGGGUUGAGGCGGGAGAGAGGAGAGAGGAGAGAACCGUUUGAUUGGGAAAUGAGAAAGGGAAAUAGUAGAAGGAGAGAUAUAUAGAGAGAAACGGGGAGGUGCAAGCUGGCGAAUGGUUGAAAGACAG
rnacentral:lncRNA from 1 species